UGUACAUAGAAAUUUCAAUGUUAUUGCCUUUUCUUUCAUCUCCUUCCCGGAUUCUCCUCUUGAUCAAUAUUUUCUACUAAAAUUUUCCAAAUAGCAUCUCGUAAUUUAGGUUUUAUAACUCUAUUUUUAGCUUUUUGAAUUAUCUUAGCUGUAUCUCCCGCAUCCGUAUCCACACCUGGAUCCAUAUCCCCGAAUUUUAAAAUUGAGAUCAUGAAGGAUCCGACUUCUAGAUCCGCACCCGUAUUAGACACCCACACUCGAGUCCUAGCAACUGAGAGUUUCACAACAGAGGGGUCCACUGCUAAUUAGUUUCACCCAAGAGUGAUACAGGAGCUAAAAUCCCUCAACAGUACUCACUUGUUUAGAAUACCAAUGAUUUUGAACUAGUUUCCACAUAAAGCAUGAAGAACAAAGGUACAUGGAUAAAUCGUGUUUGGCUGUCUGCAUUUAGUGUCCUGUGUCAAUGUUUCAAAUUCACUAACCAUCUGGCAGCCAAUGCCCUUAUCGUGUUGUCAAAAAACCAUUCUAUCUGGUAUGUAUUCACCUUAUCAUCUUUUCAAAAACCAAGAAACACACAACAGCUAAGGAAAGCGAGCAAUACAAUAAGAAUAAGAAUACAUUGUAAUUAUCUGUUCAUAAUAUUCAGAUUUUACAAAAUCCGAAGGAUCAAUGAUCAAGAGAAACGUUUAAAACCAGAAAAAGGCACUUUUUAAGUAGACCAUGGCAGCCUAAAAUCAGUUACUAAUUGUUGGGAAACUUUGUUGCAGGCAAAUACAACAACAAACCCAGUGUAUUCCCACAAAGUGGGGUCUGGGGAGGGUAAAAUGUACGCAGUCCAUACCGCUACCUCCAAAGAAGUAGAGAGGCCGUUUCCGGUAAACCCCCGGCUCCAGGUAGUGAAUAGUAACCAAAGCGUAGUGAAGCAUGAUGAAUGGCAAAACAUAAAAAGGAAUAAGACAUACUAAAAUAAAAAUAAAAUAAAGUAUAAAUCCAAGCAAUACUAAAUAAGAUAAAUAGGCGCAAUAAAUAAGAGAUAAGCCAUAGGGCAUCCAGAAUACGACACCCCCCUAGUAGUAAGGGCAAUUAAGCGAUGACACUAUAUUAGCUGGUUUCUUAACAUGGAUAAUCCAGGCAUUGAACAUGUGUGGAAAUAGACUGCUUCAAGUUACCUGUGUGAUAGACUUGUUUGCUGCAAGCUGAUCAACAUUCCCAAUAUUAACCUGGACAGGAUUUCGAAGAAGAUCACCAGCUAUUUUUCGCACUUCUUUCGGCCAUGUAGCUGUGUACAUAAGUGUUUGUCUUUGUGGGGGUAUCUCAUUUACAAUCUUGCGGAUCUGAGGUUCAAAACCCAUGUCAAGCAUUCGAUCAGCCUCAUCUAGAACAAGAAGAGAAACCUGCCUAAAGUCAAUUCUUUUCAUUUCAAGGAUGUCAUUCAGCCGACCAGGAGUUGCAACAACAAUAUCUGUUCCGCGCUCUAAUUCUUUCAACUGGUGAACUUUAGGUGCACCUCCAUACAAGCACUGAAAUGAAAGAGUUGAUCGAUAUCACCUUCAAAAUUCAACAGAGUUCAAAUGAGAAACUGUCCGUAUAUCAACUCACCGUGCAAGAAACCCUGGCAGAUCGACCAAACUUCAGUGCUUCGUCUUGUAUUUGUGUGGCAAGCUCUCGGGUUGGAGAUAAAACCACCACAGUUGGGCCAUUUUGAGGAUUAUUGCGCCGUAGUUUAAGGUGGACAAAUGCAGGAAUUAGAUAGCCCAAUGUUUUGCCAGAACCUGUCUUCGCAAUGGCCACUAUAUCCCUAUUUUGCAGAGCUAUAGGCCAUGUUUGUGCCUGAAUGGGAGUGGGUGAAGUGAAUCCCGCAAACUGAAUCUGCAAAACAUGACCCGUAAUCAAUAGAGAGGAGAAAUGGUGAACACAUCUACACACUUCAGAAUCUGAAAGCACAAUAAAAGCGAGUAACAUGAAAACUGAUUCAAUCUUUAAAAAAGAGAAGGGUAAGAUAGAAAAAUGGAGGAAUCCUAAAGAAACACUUGGGAUGCAGUUGCUUACUGAAGCAACUUGAGGCAACAAAAGGGAGCAACUAAAACAGAAGACCCAGAGCAAUAAGCUAGAAACCCGAGUCAUCUAUUGGAAUUUUUCUGAAGGGCCAACCACCCUUCAAGAGCUAUGCAACAGAGGCUCCAAUUUCCAUUUUGCAGCCUCAAAAAAUCAGGAGUUGUUGCCAAAUUAUGAGGAUAGCAUAACAGCGUACGACAUGUGCUCCUCCUGCGGAGCAGAUAUCGCACAUGCAACAAUCAAUAAGCUUGUGGCAUCUUCUUAAAAUAAAAAUGGAAAUGAAACAAAACAGAUCCUAAAAUACAUCAAAAACCCAAUGAGUGAUCAAAUUUGAGAAGAGCACUUACCUCUCUCAGUAUUUCUGGUGGGAACCCAGUAUCUUCAAAUGUCAUGAAUGGAGCAGGGACAUCACCACCCUAGACAAUCAAUUAAACAUCAGGACCAACCAACUUCAGAAUAACCAAAGAAACAUCGCCAAGUGUACUCAAGACAAUCUAAACCACAAAGCUUAUACCAAUGACUGAAAACAAGAAAAUAACAUUAAAUGCAAACAAUUCUAUGAUAAACUUCAACUUGAACUCGGAACAAUAGAAGCAAAGUAGUCAACACAAGGCCCAAUGACUGGUACUGCAACACUGUAGAACUUUAAUAGCAAAUGCACCACAGGCAUCCGCGAACAUACACCCAGGAAAAGAUGAUGAAAAGACUAGCAUGACCACAAAGAGGAAUUUGAACCCCUAAACACCAAUAGUCUAGUUGUUCCAAACAACUCGUGAAAAGAUCGUGCAAGAAGCUCAAGCAGAAGACGGAAAGGACAAAAGACAUGACUAGAUUCAAAUUACAUGCCAUAUUCAAGCAAUAGAUACAACCAGCACGGGCAUAUAACCCACUUUUCAAUUACUUUAAGAAAAUCCUCAGAACCGUUUGUCAUAGCUGCUGCCUCUUCUUGCUUUAAUGUAAUUAGCUAUCUUGUGCCAGUGGAAGCAACCACAAUUUUUGAGAAUGUUUUGAGUUGCUCUAGAACUAACAAUUAAGUUUACUUGACACACAAAAAAAAGUCAGCUGACAAAGACAAGCAUUGUCGACACUUGACUUAGUGUUUGUGUCGUACUAAAGCAAGUAUAGACGUGGAUGGGCACAAAUUCUGUAUAUUCUUAGUAAUAUUUGUGCACGCUUAACUUCAACUUGCUACUGAGAAGUUCAACAGAGUUCCAAAUUACAGUUAGUCAAGCUCAUCUAUCAACAGACUUAUACAUAUUGUAGGACAUGAAGAUGCCAUGCCAGAACAAUAUAAACGUGUAACACAUGUAUCUAAUUAUUCUCUUUAAAGAGUACAGAUCACAAGUCAUGGCCAAACAAAAAAGGUGGAUCAGAAAGACGAGGGUUACAAUUUUAAUGAAACAAGCCCACUUAGUUCAUGACAAAAAAGGAAACAGCAAAAUUAAUAGCAUUCUUUAGGUGCUUCUUGAAACAUGAACUUAGGAGAUAAGGUGAGCUAAGACAGCAAAAAUGCCAUCACAACAAAAAAUUCCCUAAUAGUCAGAUGGCCCUCAGUAUAACUUUUGGUUGUGCUUUAACAAACCCAAUGUCACAACCAUCACAUAAAUUGCUAGAAAUAUUCCCAGAGCUAUCAACCAAAGCAGUGUAUUACAAAAAUAUAGCAUAAAGGAACACGCCCCCCCCCCCCCCAGAUAGUUGAGUUAAAUCCUUUGGGCAUCCUAUUCGGGGGAGGUGAGGGAUGUUGCCGAGUUGGGGGUUAUACACAUAAUGCUUCUAUGUUUUUUUACUUAAAAAAUUUCAGUCUAUAUGUAAAAAACAACAGUGUUCACAUUUUCCCAUGUUAUUUUUAAUACCCCAUUGCCUGACGUAAAGCUAGUUUUAAUCCAUAACUAUAUGGCAACCACUGAUCAAUCAAAAAAGCUUAUGACAAGUACUUGGAUUUCAAAUGAUAUUUAGAACAUUGCAGAAAGAAAAUGCAAUCUCUAAGAGCUCAAAACAAGCCAGACUGACUGAUAACAGAAAGAUGUUCCAUUCUUUUACUUGAAGGAAAAAAAAUGGGAUCAAAGCACAGAAGGUGAUGGGAUACACACUGUUGCAGUUACUUCAUGCUUCUGGAGGUAAAUCUCAACGGACGAUUGGUGAAUGGCUCCUGGAGGUCCUGUGAGUGCUCCAGGUGGCCGCAUGAGGUUAGGAUUUCGAAAUGGAGAGCCACCAGCUGCUUGACCAUACAUAUUUGGCAUUGGAGUGCCACCCAUGCUAUUGAACCCACUAGGAAGUGCUGGUACUGGAUUUUGAAGAGGAGGAUCACCCGCCCUCAUUUCCUAAUGAACAAUUGCAACAAAUGCCUACAUUUAGCGCCUCAUUGGCUAGGGAAAUUUUACAAGCAACAUAAAUGUCAUAAGAAAACAUUCACAUUUUGAAAUAUAUUAACUACAAAAUAUCUUAAACCUGCCUAGUAAUAUUGCAUAUGAAGCACAAAACUUCCCUAUUUCAAAAUAAGUAUGAAAUAAAGAAGCUUUAUGAUGAAGAUGACUGAUUCUUGCAACAUGUUAUAUAAAGUUACUAACACGAGACAAAAUUUAUGGAGCACAGUAAAUCGACCUGGAAAGUCACAUCUAAAAAUAUGCAAUGAAUGAUAUGGAAAUAACAUACAUGUUGAUUUCUUGCUACAGGUAUAGCUGCAAGCUUGGGGUGCUGAGGUGGAGGCCUAAUUCGACCAUCCAUGUUACUGUUGUAAUAAUAAUCAUUUCCUCCCCUUCCAAUUGGGUUUUCCUCAUAACCCUUUGAUCCAACUGGGGGGGUGUCCAUAUCGUGACCAUGUGUGGUACUUGAUCCCAUCUGAUCGGGAAAAUGUGGACCAGGCGGCUUGUGACCAGGAUCAUUUGUAUUUUGCUGCCAUUGACCCAAAGAUGAUGGUUGUUGAAUAUUUACAGAAGAAUCGCCAAACUGCAAAGCUUGAGCACGCUGAGCAGACAUCUGAGGCCUGAUAACAGAACCAGUCCCUACAGGCAGAUUCUGAGCAGAUGAUGCACCAGUUUGCUGAAAUUGCUGGGGCGAAAACUCAACUUGUUUCCCUUGGGGGAAAUCAACAUCUUCCCUUUGUUGAAAUCCCACUUUAUGCUCUUGUUGAUGGGAGAACUGUUUAUUAUUCCGUGGAACACGCUGAUUUUGCUGCGGUGGAAUUUGCUGUCCCUGUGGAGGAAAAUUUUGUGGAUACGCAACAUGUUGUGCCUGGUGAUGAGAAAAUUGAUAACCAUGUGGCAGUCCCAUUUGUACACUUGGGAAUGCUUGUGCUUGGGAGCCAAGUGGCUGGGGCGUUAUUUGUUGCAUUGAUGAAUGAGAAACAUGUGGCCCUGGCUGAUUAGGAGUUUGUCCCAUUUGAGAAGGCAUCUGAUGACCAGGCUGCUGGAUCAUUUGAGACCGAAGUUGCGGCAUAAAGGCUACCUGUUGCAUGACAGGACCAGCUAAUUCUUGUUGCUGCCCUGUUGAAACACCUUGCGAUCCAUGUGGUUGCAUUACAUAUGGAUGUUGUGACAUGUGUAUCAUUUGUUGGCCUUGUUGAGCAAAGGCCUGCUGACUCUGUUGGCCUUGACUAUCGGUUUGUUGCACUGUGCUAGCUCCUGGAAUUGGAGCCAACUUAGGUGUAGAAUCUUCAGGAGGUGGACCAGGAGGCAGUGGAGGAGGUAAAGCCGAUGGCUUCUCAUACUGGGUAACAUUAGUUUCUGGAUUCCAAUAGUACAACAACCCAGUACUACCAUCAACUAAGCCCUUCCAAGGUUGGGGUAAAGUUGGAUCAUCAGGUGCAUAACGGGGUCCUAAGGAAGCUGUAGCAGCCUCCGGAGUUCCCAUGCUUGAGAUACCUAAGGAAAUCCAUGAAAAAGGUCAUAUAUGAAUUGACUAAAUGCAAUGAAAAACAAAGGGUAUUGUAGUACAGACUAAACAUGAAUAUGUUAAGCAUACUACCAUCAAGUAAAUCAGAUAAUAAUUGAAGAGACAUUCCCAAUGAGAACAAUCAAGAGUCCUAACCAGAUUACUAUUCUUUGGGCAUAAAAGGGCCAAAUGACAGUCUCUGCCUAUUGAGUUAAUGUACAAACUUAGCUUAAGGAGACAUUCGUAGCAUUCUCAACCCCAUAUCAGCUGUGAAUGGUGAACUUGUAAUAUUAACAUCUUUUAAUAGGAAACCAGUAUCCAUGAUUCUAUUUCAUUACUGAAGGAUUGGUCAAUCAACUUGACAGACCUUCCCCUUGUUUCGUCUCUAACAACUAAAAACUCAAAAACAAAAACGAAACAGCAAACGGAGCAAACUCAUAAGCAGACACACCACAAAAAAAAUUGCCAACUUUUUGGAAGAAUUCCUUAAAGUAAAAGCAGUUCAAGCUAAACAGACCGUGCAAACUUUUUAACAUCAUCGCGCAACCCAAAAAAAAAAAAAAAACACGCAGAAGGUAGCUUAAGACAAACAACAAAAUUGAUGAGCGGAACUCAAUCGUCAAAUGAGAACCUUAGCGUAAAGCGGCGAGCUCCGGUUUGUGUGAAAAGGUGCGGACGGAAAAUAAUAGGAUUGGACGCUUAUUUUAGGGUUCAGGUCUUCAUAAGGGAACUGCCUAAGUUGGACCUUUCCUUCUGUUUGUUUUUUUCCUUUUUAUCCAUCUACUGCUCCUCAUUUUACCGGUUCUAAAUUAAGAUAACAUAAUUAUUAAAAAUAUAAUAAUUAAUAAUAUAAUUUUAUUAUUUUAUUCUUCUUAAUCGUGUCUUAUUAUUAGUUUUAAUAUUGAUAGAUGGCUAAUAACAAGGAGUAAUCAAUUACACUAAGGAUAUAAUAAGAAAAAAAUUAUCUUAUCUUGAUAAAUAAAAAAACAAACAAGUAAAAUGGGACAUUAAAUUAGGAAAUUUAGGAAGGAUAAAAUGAGAAGAAGAUAUAUAUAUAUAUAUAUACUGUUUGUAAUAACUGUCUUGAGAGGACGGUCUCAGCUUUGCUUUUUUCCUUUCCUCCAUACAUGUUGAAACAAGAAACGUUAGCAUUGUUGUAUAAUAAGUCUAUUAAGCUAAUCUGGUACAUUAUUAUCUUUUCCAUUUAUAUGUUUUAAUACUAUGUUAUAGAUGGAAGUGGCAUCUAAAAAAUUUAAUCUUCUCCUUUUAUUACUAUUCUUUUCAUUUAUAUUUUGGUAAAAUUUUACUAUAGCUUCACAAUCUGUUCUUGCUAAUAUUUCAGGUUUAUUUAGUAUAUAGAGUCGAAAACUAUUCAGUCCAUAGAGAACUGUUGAUGUUUAUGCCACCAGUAGUGAUAUAAAAUUCAGACUAAAAAUAAAUGAUGUAGUAAGCUUAAUGAGAAAUAAUGGUAUAACACUAAUGAAGCCAUUAAAAAUAAAUUCAGAAGGAUAUGCAGGAUUAGAAUGAAAUUUGAAAAAGUUUAGCAAGAAAGAAAUACUUAAGCCUAAUGAUCAUUUAAUAUAUAAAAAUAAUAAAGGACAACCUCGAUUAGAUUUACAGACUAUAAAUAUACAAAUGAAAAGGAGAAAGAGAAGAAAUUGAAGAAAGUGAAAAUACUGAAUAUAUGAAUAUAAAAAUAAUGGAAGAAGAUGGUUUUGAAGUAAAUAAUGUUAUAAUGAAGGCAGAGGUCAUGUAUGAAACAACUAACAAUAAAAAGUUUGGAUGCAAAGGUUGUAAGAUAGGAAAUCUACACUUCAAAUAAAUGAAAGGACAUUUUAUUAAGUGUGAAUGAAGAAUAGACAAUUAUGGGUAUAGAAGUAGAAAUAAGAUAACUAACGAAUUACAGGAAGAAGAAGAUUUAGAAACAAUUUAUAGUAUAGACGAAAUAGACAGUUUAAAAGAACUAAUGAAAAAUGCAUCAAGUAGUUCAAGCCCUUUCCAAAGAACAACUUUAAUGCAAAGAGUACAGAUAAACUUAAGAGUUUGUAGUCAAAUAAGGUGAACCUCUUUUCGUCCUAAGUCAUGUAAGUAGUUAUUAAGAUCUUUUGGAUAUUUACAAUAAGUUUUUAAAUUAUUUGUAGAUAAUGGUAUCAUAAUUAGUAAGAAGAAAAUGGAAUUAUGUAAGAACAGUAUUAACUUCUUAAGUGUGGUUAUUAGAGACGAAAGAAUAAAACUACCACCACAUAUAGCAAAAAAGGUUUUAGAAAUACAUACUUACUAUAUAAAAGAGUGGUCAUAGGACGACCAAGGGCAGAAAUCUUAUGUUCACUCACGUUCUUUUCCAGAGACAUUAUGCAUAUCUAGAAACAUCCAUUUAUCACCAUCUCUUCUGCAUAAUCUCAAAGUGUCACAGUAUUCUUUCAAUUUUGUUCACCGUUAGUGAAUUAUUUUCGUUCUCUUCAUCUUUACAACAGGUUACAAUUACAGUUUGUUCAUAUCUCAAUUUUUGCUCAAUCAUUAUUCGUUGUUUCUUUCAUCCUUUAUUCUUUUUCAGUCCUUGCAUUUUUUGGGUUCUUUUCAUAUACGGUGAUCGAGAAUAUAUUCAAAGAGACAGAGACAAAAGUUGUAUCUUUGCUUCAAGAAGUUUUAUAACUAUGUCAAAUUGCGCUCUACUUUACUUACUAUAUAGAAGAGUGAUCAUAGGACGACCAAAGGCAGAAUAGACAUUUUACUCAGUUAAAAAAAAAUCUUCUAAGAGACACUAUGCAUAUCUAGAAACAUUUAUUUAUCACCAUCUCUUCUACAUAAUCUCAAAGUGCCACAAUGUUCUUUCAAUUUUGUUCACCGUUAGUGAAUUAUUGUCGUUCCCUUCAUCUUUACAGCAAGUUACAAUUACAGGUUUGUUCAUAUCUUAAUUAUUUCUCAAUCAUUAUCUGUUGUUUCCUUCAUCCUUUAUUCUUUUCAGUCUUUGCCUUUUUUGGGUUCCUUACAUAGGAUGAUCGAGAGUACAUUCAAAAAGAUGGAGAUAAAAGUCCCAUCUUUGCUUCAAGAAGUUGUAUAACUAUCUCGAAUAGUUCUCUCCUUUGUACUGUCUGUAAUUGUUCAUCUUCCAUCCUCUCUUGUGUUUAUUAGAUUCAGUAAGUGUUUUCCUCCCUGUUUCUUUCUUGCUCGAUGUUCUGGUCUUCGUUCCUACACUUAAAGUUUGUCUAUUUUCAGUGUAUAUUAGAUAUAUGGUAAUUUUUUUAAUUAAAAGGUUCAUAUGGUUUUUUGAAAUAUUUGAGAUUGGUUCACAGUUGUAUCGAAACCAUCGAGUUGCCUAAAACCUUCCUUGUUGUCUUGCUUGCUUUCAGAUAAGAAAGACUAGUCAUUUGAAGGAAGCUAAUGCUAAUGGUGAAAGAUUAGGAGUGUAUAGUACCUUAAUGUUUCACUAGUGAGAAAGUGAAAAGAUUCAAGGUAGAAAAGGUAAAAUUAAAAGGUCCUCAAGGAAGAAGAAUAGAAUUAGAGCAGGUGGUAAUUAAAUCGAUUAUAAGUUCUGAUACAUGAAAUGGAUAAUUUGCUCAAGAAAUUUUUUUAUGUAGCUAAUGAGUUGUCUCAUUCUAUAGUCUUUAGUAUGUAAGAGUUUAAUUAAACCCUUAAUUUAUAGUAAUAAUUCUAUAUCAAAGAUUCCUCAACAAAGAAGUUAAAUUAGAUCGGCCAACUAUAAAGUAAACCCAUCUACAAGCCGUGCAACCAAUGAGAAAUUCAACUUGAAAGAGGAAAAAAGAAAAAAUCAACCAAAGUCUUGCUUAUCUAGCAAGAGAAAAGGUUCAAUCCUAUUUCUAUUGACCUUGUUGGCUUGUUUAUGUAGUCAAAAUUCUAAACUUGAAUUAACCAAUUACUUAAAUAGUACAAGAUUUUUUUUCUUUUUAAAUAGUUUCUUACCAGAAAGGGGGAGUCUUAGAGUAACUGGUAAAGUAGUAUGGAGGUUGUGGGCUUAAGUCAUGAAACUAGCUUCUUAAAUGCAGGAUAAGACUACAUACAAUAAACCCGUAUGGUUGGCCCUUCCCCGGAUCCUGUGCAUAGUAGAAAUUUUAGUGUGUUAGAUGCCUUUUUUAACAGUUCAUCACAAAAUAUAAAUACUUAUGUAUAUUAAUUAAGGAUUUUUGGAGGUAAUGAAGAAGUUCAAGAUGAGUAUGGUUGAUGGCUCUAAAGAUGAUGCUCAUCAAAAUGGUGCUCUAUAUAGAACUAAUUUAUAUUUAACACCAUAGGACUAUCACUAAAGGAGAGCAUGUACCUAGAUUGAGGCAUUGCUUACUUUGAAUUUCUACUUAGUAGCCUAGUAGAUGUAAUCUACCAUGUAGUACUACCCUAUUUUUGUGUCAUCUUUAGUGUUAGUUAAAACCUUAUGCCAUUUUUUUUGCUAUCCUAGGAUUAUUUCUUAAUUUAAUCAAGUUGUAUUCAACAAAUAUGAAAUUUUAAAUGAUAAUGGGUACUUAACAUUGAGUUGUAAGAAUAAUAUUUUGCAUGCUUUCUAUGAGAAGAAGUAUCAAAUCGAUUAAUCAAGGAAUUUAGACCAUCCGUGCAAACAUUGAUCCUAAUUGAGAAAGAAAAAGAUAAGAGAUGGGGCAGUCAAAGAAGGAACAUUGAACAAGUGUUUCCACAGACUUGAUAGUGAACAUCAUUUAGAAGUCUACCAAAAUUAAAAAUCUAUUAGUUGGUCUUUAUAUAGCUUUAAAUUGGAUUACAACUGCUCCCAUGAUUCCGCACUAAUAGGUGUGUGGGGGUAUAAUGUGCUAUGAAUUUAUAGCACUUAUGAUGCUUAAAAUUAGAGAAUAUGCAUGUACUUAAAGCAAUUUUGUUGGAUUUGAUGUAUUUUUAGAGUGAUUUCAUAGGAAACCAGGUAUUGAUACUAAACGGGAGAAAAAGAUGGUUUUGGAUGAUAAACGAAGGAAAAUAUGGUUUUGAAUGCUAAACGAAAGAAAAGGAUGAAAAGUAGAAGUUUUGAGCUACUUACUUAGGCAGCUCCGGGCGUAUGCACCACUUAUCGGGCGUAGGUGACCAAGGUAGGUGAUAGAAAUUGAAGUCUAGAGGCUCAGGAGCAGAAAAAAAGACUUUGCACUUACCUAUGUCCACAUACGGUCCGUAUAUGGCACAUACUGACUGUAUGUGGUCUAAGUGGCCACAAAUGCAAUUUUUUUUGGAUUAUUUCAAAAUCAUUUCCUAGGGUUUCCAUGUAACGUACAUACACUCCUAUGAUGUUUUUAGUCAUUAUUAUGUUUGUUUAUUCAAGAUUUUUCUAUUUUAUUUGGGAUUUGAUUUCUAGGAUUUUUUGUAAUCUAUAAAUACCCUUUAGACUUUGUUUAGUAGGAUAUGCUAGAGAGGCCCGUUGGGGCUGAGUUUACAAACAUAUUUUGAUUUCAAGAUUGACUUAUGAUUUUGGAAUCUUAUUAUUCUUGGUUUGUUAUUCAAUUUAAGACUUUGUGAUUUCUUUUUUCAUUAUUGUGAGAUUGAUUUUAUAAUUUUGUCUAUGGAUUCCAUGAUUGAUCUCAUAACUAUGAGCGGAUAAUUCCCUUAGCUAGGGUUGUUGAAACCCUGAUGGAUUAACAAAGUAGAGAAAGUUCCAAGUCAUUCUAGAUAAAGAUUCUUGCAUGUAUUGUGAUUUUCUUUAGUUUAAUUGAUUUCUUAGCGGAAGGCCUACGUUAAGAACCCGUCCGUAUUCACUACUUGCUUCAAACCUUUUCCAUCUAAUAAUUCCCGUAUUCUCAUCUAAUUAACUUGAGGCCCAAAGGUAAUAGUUAAUUUGGGAUCCAAGGCAAGGGUUAGUAAAGUGACGCUCUGAGACUCAAAAGGUAAAGAGUGAGAUUUACUAACAAGUCCACAAGAUAGGUGGUGAUACAUAACUUGUCAGAUUCUACAUGCAAGGUAUUCAAAUAGUUCGAUAGUGCACGAUAAAUCUAUGAGUUAAAAGCUAGGUGGAACACAAGUCUAGUGUUCGUCUUAGAUUGUUUACAACCCAAAUCAUCCAAUUCUUGAUACUUUUUGCUAGUUACUACAAAUCCCCCCUUUUUACUUCUCUGCACUACCUGGUGAUUUUAAUAAGUUCAAACAAGAUAUCUGAUCUAUUCCCUGUGGGAUCAACACUAACCUAUUUGGGUUACUAUAGUUUGACAACGAUCGUUUUAUCCUUCUAAGUAGGGAUAGUUUGGGUGUUAUCAAAAUUUUAAUGCAGUUAUCGGGGAAUACAGUUGUAGAUUGACUAAUUAGAAUGGUUGAAGUUGUCAAGUUUUUCUUUUCUAUUCUUCUUCGGGCAUACGCUAGUAUAUGCCUACUUUUCUUGAUAUGACAACUUGGCCAGAGGAAGUAUGGAGUGAUGAAGAUUCUUGAUUAUUGAUCCUUAUCCUUUUGAUAUAGUGCGGUAUUGCAGGAGUGUGGCAGAUAUAAUGUGUGAAAUCAAGGAUAGCCUAUUGGAAACAUUGACAGACCUUGUCCACAACAAUCAUGAGCUUAUUUAAAAGGUUGAUAGAUUUGGCUUGGAUAUUUACCACUUACAAGUAGAGUUGGAUGCAAAAGUUGCUGCGUGUAAUGCCUAAUAAUUUAGUUAUGGGUGGUGUGAGACUGAAAAAUUUUUGAGAAGUCAACUUGAGGAGUUAAAUUGGAGAAUUCUAAAAUUGUUCAUACUCUUAUAGAUAGUGUCACUCUUAAGAAGAACAUACUAGAGUUAUAUGGGGAUGUAAGUAAGACUUCAAUUCUUGAGUUGAGGCGUACUGGACCUCAUUCGAAACAUUUUCCACAGUGUGUUUAGACAAUCAAAUCUUGAUAGAGCUAUUCGAACCUAAAGAAGAGCACAAGAAGGAGGAACUGGACAUGUCUAUAUUCUUGAAUUUGCUAAGCCAGAAUAAAAGAAUUACAUUCCUCACAUAAGGGCCAAGAAGUACGAUAUGUCAUAUCUAUUUCUUGGGUCCUUUAUUUUUAUACCACCACCCCAUGAGCAUAAUGGGAAAUUAUAAAAAUAAUUAGGGGUGAUGAAAUUGAUGAAAUUAUACCACAAAAGGAGCAAGUUGAUGAAAUUGCGAAAAGAAAAGCUGCUAGGAGAAGAAAGAGAGAAGAAAUGACAUCAGAAGAAAGAAAGCAGUAUGAUAUGAAGAAAGCUUCAAAAAGAUCUAGGAGAGAUGAAGAGAGAAGAAGGAAGAAAGUAGAAGAUGAAGUUACUAGUGCAUAUACUAGUUCCACCCCAGCCCCAGCCACCCGAUUCCAAAGGAUGAGUUUAUGAGUACCCCCACCGCCAUGGGGGUCAACAUUGCAACAGGUGAGGACACUGGAUCCUCACCACAUUUCAUAGAUGCCUUAGAUGAAUAAGAGGCAUUACAAGGAUUUCCCUUUCUUUGUACUUUAAUUUUUUGCAUUUGAGGACAAAGCAUGUAUUUUUCUGUGAGGGGUAUACUUGUACCGCGGGGGUUGUUGUUGUCGGUGUUUUUUCCUCCCGUGUGCUAUUUAGGAGAACUAGCAUAUUUAGGAUUGCAUUUUCUUUUCUUAGAUUGUGAUGUAAAUAUCUGUUUGUUAAUGUUUAUUUAUAAAAGUGUCUUUUAUUUAGCACCUUGUUACUUAUAUGGAUGAUGAAUGAUAUUCGCAUAAGGCUAUGAACAUAUUUAUAUGACUGUUUACUUCUGUCUUCUAGCAUAUGUGAGCAACCUUUAGUGAAUCUAUAAUUGGCAUUAACAUGUAAGAUAUGCAUGACAUAUGAUGGAAAUCUUAAGAGCAGUAGAAUGAGUUUGACUAAGUUGCCUGUGUGAGUGAGUAUUUGUGUUAGUUCUUGCAUAAUAUAGUACCUAAAACUUGCCUGGCUCAUUGAUGGUGUUUUGUGGUUGAUGAAAUAAUAAGUGAUCGUAGGCAGCCUUGUACUUUUAUUCCAAUUAGCCAAAAUAAUUAACCCUACCAAAAAGAUUUUUUCCAUUUUUGAACCCUUCUUUGAGCUUGUAGUAAUUUUUCUUCAUCACUAAUAACUCUAAUUGACUCUCUUAGCCCUGGUCUAAUAUUGGACAUUGUGUACCUAAAAUUAGGCAAAACACCUAAGUUGAGGGUAGCUAUUGUUAAAAUGUUAGCUGUCUAAUGGAAAGUUGAUAUAGAGCUUAGUUUAAAACAUCUGGCCCUGGUCUAUUUACAACAUUGUGCACCUUGACUGACUUCAUCAACAUAAGUUGAGGGUGACUGAUGCUUAUAUAUAUAUACAUAUAUAUAAAAAGAGGGUAUCAUAGUAAAGUGUGAAUAAAUGAGAGAUGGGUAAGUGAGAUAGUAAAGCAGUGGCUGUGGUAGGUAGAAUUCAAGGGCAAAGAGAGUUAAAUCCUAGUAUUGAGUCACUUUUCCCUAAAUCCUUCCUUACCUAGCCUGAAACCUCAUCACAAGCCUAGAAAAAACCUUCUUGAUCUUGGCAAAUCAACUACAAAGGGGCGUUAGAUGAUAAGGGCAAGCCUAUGUGUAUGUGUACUAUCCUUGUAACUUCUUUGAUGAGUGUGAGAGUUUUGUUUUGUAUCCAUAAACUAUAAUGAGUGGUGGAUUUUAUUGACUGUGAGGGCAACUUGAGUUACACUUAGGUUGCUAGUCUCUGUGGGAUAUGAUAUCCAUGUUUGUGUGUGCUGAACUAAAAUCAAUGCCAAUUAUAGAUCCUGAUGUGUUGAGCCCAUAUAAGGGAGAUGACAUAUGAAUGGUUGUACAAAAUCUGAUUCAAUAGUCGAUUGCUUGUCAUUGUGUUAUUCAUGUAUGCAAUUUGGUGUUGAGCUGAGGACAAGAAAUUAUCUUAAGUUGAGGGUGUUAAUGUUUCGUUUUUUAAUGGAACUUUUGCAUUUUUUUCUUAGGAAAAUUGAAUGUUUUCAAUCAAUUUACGUUGUAUUUAAUACUAGAUUUUAGUGUUUUCAGGUUAAGGAGUUAACCAAAUAAGAAACUGGAAAAAGCAGCAGAAAAAGGCCUCUGACGGGCAAACUGGCGGACCGUCAGACAAGUGACGAACCGUCGGGGUGAUCGUUAGACCAAAACAGAAAGAAAAAAUUGAGUGGACUCUGCGACAGUCCAAGUAGCAGACCAUCACGCAUACGACCACAGGCCAUCGAACCAGUGAUGGACUGCUGAGUGGGACAUCAACCCUUAUCCAGAAUAUGGCAUUCCAAUCCUCUCAGUGAUGGCUCACUCGAUGAACCAUCAGUCUACCGACGGGCCAUCGAUAUGACUGUCAACUUGGAUACGGAUUUUUUUGAGUUUAAAUUUUAAAUACUCUGCACCUGGGAGCAUAUAAAUACCAGUUUAGGUUUUAUUUAGGUAUAUUUAUCAUAUUUUACAAGGGGAACAUUAUUGUAAGCAGUAUUCUCUAAGGAACAGCUAGUAUUAGGGAUCUAAACAUAUUAUUCAUGUUCUUCUUUUGAAGAUUCAAGAACAAGUCUUUGAUUUCUUAUAAAUAUUUUCUGAAUUUAUUUAUGAGAAAUACAAUGACGUCUUCUUAUUCUUCUAUGGAAAUAUGUGGGUAAGCUUCCAUAACUAGGGUUAUGGGAGCCUUGAUGUGAAAAGCUGAUUGGGGUCGUGAGAAUGUUUGAUUUCCAUGAUUAACUAAAGUUUUAUAAACCCUUUUUCACACUAAUGACCUUUCUUGGUUGCAAACUUGAAGGGCGAGCUCAAGAACAUCAUUUGUUUGAAUAGAAAAGUGUUUGUUCGGAAAAAAGAUGUUUACAUGGGAUCUGGAGGCUUUAACCUUUGGGUUAAGGGUUGAUGCCUUAAUGGGGUCAACCCACAUGAGAGAAUAAUUAGAAAAGUUAACGUAUUUUUUAAGUUUGAGAGAAUUAAAGGAUAAUCUACUCAUUUAGGUUGAGAAACAAAUAGGUAACUUGUAGGAUUCAAUAACUCUUGCAAUUGUAGUGAUUAAUUGGAAAUUCAAAAUAAUUCACAACCCCAGCUGCUUGAUCAUCUUGGUAACCAUAAUUCUUAUUUGUCUAUUCCCAUUGAAUUACCAUUUGCAAUAAGAAUCACUGUCUGGAACACUUUCUAUUACAAAUAACAUGAUAAAAUUUACAAAUCUAAAUCUCCCUUUUUAUGAAAACCUUUGAUCAACAGUCUAGUAACAACCACAAUACUUAGUGAACACAGUAUUCCCUAUAGGAUUUGACCCCAACCUAGUUGUGUUAUAUAUUUGACAACGACCAUUUACUCUCUCGUAGGAGAGGUGUAAUUUGGGUGUAUCAUCCUUCAUUCGUUAUUCCUUUGGAAGGUUUGGGUAUCUAAGAUUCUCUAUCUUAUAAAAAGAUCCAAUUGAGAUUCUGGAUUAGCAGGUUCGUUAGUUGCAAACCAAGGAUGUGGCCUCGAUUAAGGUUCUAUAUAGGAACUAUAAGGUGGAAGAGGCUACUUGGGAAACGGACGAGGACAUAAAGUCCAAGUAUCCGCACUUAUUUUCCAAUUUGGAUAUUCGUGCUUAGGGUAUGUUUUCUUCAUAAUGUCCUUAUUUUCUAGUUUGAUUAAAAGAACGAUUAAUUUUUUUCCUUACAUCUUUGUUAAAAGGUAAGAGUAGAGGCAUCUAGGGGUGUAAAUCGUGCUUGUACUACCUUGUCUGUCAUUCGGGGAUGAAUGAUCCUAGUGGGGGAGACUGAAAGACCCUGGGUUUUGAUCCUUAAAAAUUUUCUAGGUUUUGGAUUUUCUGGAUAUUAUACAACUUACCAUACUGGUCAUAUAGUGAGGGUACAUGUUAGGUAACCCAAUUGUAUGUUGUCUAGUGAAGUUCUUAGAAUGGGUACGAAUUGGGUGGGUAUGAGUCGUAUCGUAAGUUAUGGGUCAUAGGGUUGGGUUUUCCUUCACUUAAUUUGAAACUUAGUAACUUAACUUGGAUCUGAGUACGAGUGGCUCACAAUGAGUUGUGAGAUAGGGUACAAGUGGUAAAGUCCAACUCAUAUGUUGGACAGUGUCAACCCCUUUUGAUUCUUCCUAAGGUACGAUUUAUGGGUACCAAUCGUAUGAUUGGGUAUGGGUGGGACUUUGGAUUAGUAUGUUGGUCAAUGUGGGGGUUGAGAUUCUUCUAGGGGUAUGAGUGAUGGGUACCACUCAUACCCUAGGGUAUGGUUAGGGAGGGUUGGUCGUACCCUCAUGCGGGAAUUUUAUGUAGUCUAAGUUGGGGGUAAUCUGGACAUUUCCCUUUAUAAAUCCUUGGGACUCCAUGACUUAAAAACAUAUUUUGGGGCUUCAUUUAACCUAUUUGCAAUCACUCAAACACUAUUAAACACUCUUAAAUCUCUCUAGACUCUUGGGGUAAGUAAAAACUAGGGUUUCCUUCAAGGUGGUCAAUUGCAGCUCAUAGAGGUGAUUUCUUCUCAUCUUCUUCUCAAUAUAAGGAAAGUUACUCCUACCUCUUUUUUAGUUCAACUAAAGGCAUGUUUUAUGAAUUGUUUUCAUGGUAUAAUUGUGGUAUGGUUUUGGGUUCUGAAUAUAUGUUGGGGGUUUUGGUUAUAAAUAGUUGGUUAUGUUUUUCCCAUGUCUUUUACUUAUGAUUUUCAUAUUAUAAUGAUGGUUUGAACUUUUGGUUGCAUGAUAAUGGUUAAUUGGUACUUGAUUUUGGCUACGAAAAUACUAUACCCAUAACAUGUUUGAUAAAGUGCCCAUGAGAAUGUUUUUACUAUAUUGUUGGACUUUAAUGGAACUAUUGCAUUGUACAACUUGGUAAUGGAACCCUAAAUGGUAUAAAUAGUUUAAAUAGUUUGGAGUGGUUAAAUGGUAAGGUCUUGGUGGUCAUGGUUAUGGUUUAAUUGAACAUUCUUGUGAGGUACAAGGGAAUCCCCCAAGCAAACAUAAUUAAUGAACAUCCUUGUGGGGUACAUGGGAAUCCCGCAAGCAACUAAAUAUUGUAAUCUAUGCCUGAGUGGGAAUCCCUUCUUUUCUAAAAGGUUGGCUAAGGACAUUACUUUCAAGCUAUUGUCGAUAUGACGAUACCACUUAUAAUAGCCUUGAUUACUAAUCAAUGGUAUUAGAGAAAUAGUUAUGUGAUAAUGGUUUUAAUUAGGCAAUAAUGGUGGGGUGUGAUAGCUAACUGUGAAGGUCUGUGUCCAAUGGACGGACACUGGAAAUUCAUGUUUGCCGACAUAAGAAUUGGUCAUGGAGACCAUAUAUGAUACUUACGGGUACACAGGAAUCCCCUAAGUUACACUUGUAUAUAUGUAUCAUUGAGAGCGAAGGGUACUUGGGAAUCCCCUACUCUUAUGUUAUCUCUGGUUCAUGCAUCUACAUGUACUGGGACCCGUUCAAGGGGUUACACUGGACCCAUAUAGCGCAUGGGUGGUUCUAGGACGAUUAUCUAUGCAUACCCAGGUUAAUUAUUUUAAAGGCAUGCUAAACCCGAUUCCCUUUCCCGGUUGGAUUUUUUUCUUAUAUAUAUAUAUAUAUGUAUGGUUGUGAAUUCAUAUGGUUGCUUGCUUGGUUUUAAAGGUCGGUAUUAUUAUAUCCUUAUUUUGAGUACUUGCUAGUGUUCACCUACUAACCUAUCUUCGAGCGGCUGUAUCCCCAUGCGAUGCAGGAACCGACUAUUCUACUCCUCCUGUAUAGUGACUGAAUUUGGUAUCAGCUAUUAGAUUAAAGUGGUAAGAUUCCAUACUCUAGAAGGCUCCAUUUCAUAUCAUGGAUGUCAUUACAUACUUUGGUUAUAUCAUGAACAUUAGUUUAUCUAUGGUUGGGGUUAUGUCCUAACCGGAUAUUGUUUUACUUUUGGUUAGAGGCUUUGUGGAACUACUAUUGGUUGGUAUGGGUAGUGUCGGUAGAGGUGUCAGCCUUAGUAAUUGCAUUGGUAUUGGGGCUGAUACCGUUUGACUAUAUUUUUGAUUGAUCCAUCCUAUUAUGUUAUGGACUCGUACUUGGUUAUUGUUUUGGUUUUAGUUACGAUUAUUUGUUGGUACUAGGUGGUUGGACUUGCUUGUGUUGGUCACGGUCAUGGACCUAUCCCAAAGUCUAGAACUAUACAAAACGCUAUCUUGAGUAUAUGUUCAGAAUUCAUCCGACUCAGGGUAUAUGUUGGUUGGUUGGGUUGGGUAUCAGGGGUGGCCGUCGAUCCUAGUUGGACUUGAGAUACCCAUUACGAUAAUGACCUGCAUCUGGUCGUACCACCUUAGGGGCUCGAGGAUGACUAGAGGGAAUUGGUGAAACUCCAGAAGGGCAUCAUGAACGGACGCCUAGAUUGGGUCUGGACCUCAUAAGUAGAUCGAGUCCUAUUAGCGUUAUCCACAGGUGGGACAGAGGAGUUUCCAUGAGCAUCAGAUCAUCGAUGAUGCAUGAUAUGAAAAACGAACAAACAGGAAUUAGAGGAGAAUUCAAGAGCUUAGACUCUUUAGCUAGAAAAUAGAACACAAGAAAGAGAAAUAUUCCUAAAUGUCUCGUAGCCUCUCCCUUAUGAGUAUGGCACGCUACACACCCUUAAAAGAGACUCUACUUAAACGACUUUGUGGACUCUUAAGUGGCCAUAAACCUAGGGCUCUGAUACCAAUCUGAUAUGACUCGAACCAGGGCCUAGUCGUGUUAGGCAUCUAAAGUCUAACCCGGAUUGGAGAUCGCCCCCAAUACCCAACCAUAACCGCCCUGUACCCUAAAUCGAAUAAAUUCAGAACAUAGAACAAGUUAGGACAAUUAUAAUUUAAAGACAUUCAAUAAAGUUCAACACCAUUACCAUCUAAAUGUCCAACUAAACAUCCAACCGGUGUCAACCUCAAUACCAAUACCAAUGCCAAGGCUGACACCAAUACCGACACUGCCCCUGUCCUUAGUAAUCACACAAAGCCUAUAUCCAAGAUCAAAACAACAUCCGAUUAGGACAUGCCCCCGACCAAAGCUAGAACCAAAGUCCAUGAAAUAAAAAAAAAGUAAGUAAAGAUAUCCAUAGCAUGAAAUGGAGUCUUCCAGAGUAUGGAAGCUCACCACUUCAGUUUAACCUAAAUGUUUCCCCGAAUCUAAGUCACUGAGAAGGAGUUGUGUGGCUGGUUCCUACAUCGCGUGGGGAUACAAUGAUUGGAGAUGGGUUAGCGGGUGAACACUAGCAUGUACUCAAGAAUAAGGAUAAAAUAAUACCAUUAUUAAAAAUAAAAGUAAAUAACCUUAUGCAAUCACAUACAUACAUAUAUAUACCAUGCCAGGGCAGGGAACCAGGUUUAGAAUGCAUUGAAAACCUUUAACCUGGGUUGUAUAGAUUUACCAUCCUAAAACCAUUCACGGUCUAUAUGGUCCCAGUAUUACCCCCUGAACAGGCUCAUUACGUGUAGCUGCACGAACCAGAGAUAUCAUAGAGGCCGGAGAUUCCCGUGUAACCUUCACCUCCCAUGAUACAUAUAUACAAGUAUAACUUAGGGGAUUCUCAUGUACCCCACAAGUAUAUGGUCACCAUGACCAAACCUCAUGUUGGAAAACAUAGGUUUCCAAUGUUCGUCUAUUGAACUCACACUUUCACGGUUAACUAUCACAACCUGCCAUUAUUGCCCAAUUAAAACCUUUAGCACAUAACUAAACCACCAAUUCCAUAAGUCAAGUGUCAAGGCAUUAUGAAGUGGUACCGUUAUACUAACUAUAUCUUGCAAGAAAUGCCAGUAGCCAACACUUAGGGGAUUCCCAUGUACCAUUCAAGAUUUCCAAUUUAACCAAAUCCAUGGCCACCAAGGCCUUUCAAAACUAUUUAAAACUAUUUAACCGAUUUAUAUUCCAUUACCACAUUAUGCAAUGCAAAGUUUUCAAUAAUAGUCAAAGUUUGUGACAAAAUCAUUCUCAUUAACAUUUUAACAAACAUAUUGAGGGCACAAGAUUUCCAAAACCAAAACCAAGUAUCAAUUGACCAUUCCUACACAACCACAUGUUCAAACCAUAAUUAUAUCAUGAAAACAAUUAAAAAAACAUGGAAAAACAUUAUCCAACCAUGAAUAACCAAGACACAAACAUAUACUUACAAACCCAAAAUAAUACCACAAUAAUUUCAUGAAAAUCAUUCAUGAGGAGUAAAAUGGCUUAGACAACAAGGAAGACGGAGAAAAACCACCCUUUAGAGCCUUAAUUGAUUGCCUUGAAGAAAACUCUAGCAUUUCUUAAACACAGAGCUUGAGAGAGAUUUGAGAGUGUUUAGAGAAUAUUUAAUUGUGAAUAAUAUGUUAAGGGAGCCUCUAAAGGUGUUUGAUGUUGGGAGUAUUUAUGCACUUAGUGUUACUAUUCUAGAUUAUUUAGCCUUGUUUUGAGGAUAAUUUGUGUGCUUUAUGUGUGAUAAUAAUGUAAACAAGCAUAUAAUUGUUCAAGGAUAUGACUACAAUGGUUAAAAGUAUUUUCAAACAAGUUUGUACUUAAUUGAGUCAUUUAGAGUUUAAUUGAGGAUACUAGUUUUACUAGCUUGAGCAAGUUGUGUGUCUACUUGAUUUCGUUUGAUUAUAAUGUGUUAAAGGAGUUACAAAUAGUUUAAAUGUGUAAUUGUGAGUGGAAUAACUUGUUGAUAAUAUGCAAGUUUCAAUUGGAUUAAGUUAAGAUUCGGAACAUAAAGUUGAAGAACAUGGAAACUAGCCUAGUCUUAGCUCUAGUUUUGAUUCAUCGAUAUGGAUAUUGUGCUGUUAUUGUCACUAAUUCAUGGUGUGUGAUUAUGUAGGAAGCUUUGUGACCUGAUUAUGAUGAUAUGGAUGAUAUAAAGGACAGAAAUAAAUUGGAAUUACGCUACAAAACAAGGGAUGAAAGAUUGGACGAUAAAGACUUAAAACAAAAUUUUGGAUGUAAGUUCCAAUGAACAAAACACGACAUAUGUGCGGUGCAUCACUUUUGCAAUGCUAUAGGCAACGCUCUGUACUAGUUAUCCAAUAAAACAGGUGAGGCAGUAUGUCACCUUUUCCAUGAAAUAAGAGAGGCGACACGUUGGCUAUUUCACCUACGACCAAAAUGCAAUUCUUGACCUACAUGGAUUAAGCUUGCAUUUUAUACUAUAAAUACAUACUGUGCACAUUAUUUAUUCAUUCUUGGACAAUAUUGGACAUUUUGGAGUAUUGAGAGGCUACUGUAACUUCUUUUUAGUUUUUUUUAAUUACUUUAAUUUAGUUCAUUCAUGUCUUUAGUUGUUAAUUACAAUCUUGUGAUUACGAUUAUGACUAUGUGUGGCUAAACGCCCCCUUUCCAGGGUUAAAGCCAAGAACAUGAGUACUAUUAUUUUGAAUUAAGUUUGUUUUAUUUGCUUAUCAUUAUUGGUUGCCUGUUCAUUCUUGUUUUAACUAUUUUAAGGCUUGAUCACCCUUAGCAUAUAUCUAUUGUCAACCUUGUGAUCUCAGGAGAGAGAAUAGGGAGAUAGAACGUGGGGAAUGAACAAAGUAUAGUUUGUAUUCUUUUAUAAAAUAAGGAAUACAAAUUAGCAUCUAGGACAUGGAUGUACUUAGAGGCUUUACUUGAUUUACACGUAGGAUGAUAGCUUAAAGAACUUAAUUGGAUUAUUACAACCCCUCUCAAUUAUAUAAUUGUAAUGUCCAAAUUAGGUAAACGGUUAGAGGUCGGGAGACCAUGAUCAUGCGAUUAAACCUAUGAAUCAACAACUAAGAUAAGAAAGUUAACUAAGAAAGUUAAAUAACGUAGUAUGCUUGUCCGAAGUGCUUUAACCCUGGGCUUUUCCCCUAUUGAUUUUCUCAAGACCUUUAUUUUACACAUUGUUUACCUUACCUUAGUUUAUAAAUAUUCAAAACUCUCUUUUGGUUACUUUUGUAUCAAGUGAAUCUAUAUUGUGAACUAAAAACAAAUUUUUGUUAGAACAUGUACUGAUGGGAUCGAUUUUUGAUUUUCUUGAAGGCCAGUAUAUUACUUAGUAGACCACGUACACUUGCAUGUGUGCUGUCAAGUUUUUGGGACCGUUGUCGGGGACUUGUAAUUUUUCAACUGUUUUAUUUUUAGUUUACUUUUAGAUUUCUUUGGUGUUUUUAUGAUUGGUCUUAGUUGAGAAUUUGCAGGAAACAAGUUUACAAAGUAGUAAGAUGGCAAGAGAUUAGGACUUGUUGAGCUAAGAUCCAAACCUGAGCAACUUUUCCAUCAACGAAGAAGAGAAGCAAUCCUUCUUCCCCAUAUUCCUCAAAUUGCAAAAGAUCAAGAAAAUCCUACUCUAAUGGCUGAAGAACAAGCAACCCGCAGGACAAUCAGAUAAAUAGCAAUCCCACUUCCAAUAAAUUUGACCUCCCCAUUUCAGAAGCCGGCAAUUGGAGGCAAUUUUGAGCUAAAGCAGAAUAUGGUACACCUUUUAAUUAGCAGUGGACAGUUCAUAGGUCUUUAACAUGAAGAUCCAAAGGUUCACUUGCAAAAUUUUCUUAAAAUCAGUGACAUAUUCAUCCCUAUAGGUGUGAAUACAGACUAUGUGAGGAUAAUGUUAUUCCCUUUUCAUUAUUACCCAAAGCAAAAAAAUGGUUGAGUGCGGAGCCGGCAAAUUUAAUCACAUUAUGGGAUGACAUGGAAUGGAAAUCCUCAUCAGGUUUUUCCUGUCUGGCAAGACUGUAAGAUUUUAUAGUGAGAUAAUGUGCUUCAAACAGAAGUCAGAUGAGAAUCUAUACCAUGCUUGGGAGCGUUUCAAGGCACUUCUUCAGGACUGUCCACACUUGCAACAGUCCAAUGAGGUAUUGUCUCUUACUUUUGUAGAGGCUCUUGAUCAAAAUACAAAAAUAUUGCUAGAUUCAACUACAGGUGGUCAAGAUCUUGAGAUGACAUAUGACGAGUUGUAUACUUUAUUGAACCGCAUAGCUCAAUGGAAUCCUGAGUGACAUUUAAAUUCUAUAAGUGCAACAAAAAACUAUAGGGGUAUUGGAGGUUGAUCAAUUUACUACCAUAUCUGCUCAGAUCUCUGUAUUACAAAAUCAAACAAGCAGUCUAAAGUUGAGAGUAGCAUAGCCUGCAACCACAGUCAAUUCAAUCCAACAAGCUGCAGGUUGGUGCGAAGUUUGUGGUAACAGUGGCCAUUCAACAACUAUGUGUGCUGAAAAUCCAGAAUCGAUAAUGUAUGUGGGUAGUGUUCAAAGACCUAAUUAUGGUAAUACUUACAACAUAAAGUGAAGGACUCAGCCACCAAUUCAAACAUGGAAUGCCCUACAGAAACAGGCUUCACCCAAUCAGUCAACUAGCAAUGUGGAGGAGACGAUGAAACAACUUUUAGCUGGUCAAGCAUAAAUGGUUAUAGACAUGAAAAGUCAAUAGGCAGAAUUAAAGAAUUAACAAGUGGCCAUAAGAAGCUUAGAGUUGCAAUUGGGGAAGUUACAACAAACACUGAAUACUAGGCCUCAAGUUGGUUUACCAGUAGAUAUAGAAAAUUUAAAAUAAGUAAUGGCAAUCACUUUAAGGAGUGGUAAAGAGCUCAAUGAAGAACCUCCAAAGGCAACUAAGGAGGUAGAUGCAAAUUUGACUUCCCCACUAGUAUCCAAAAAGGUUGUUAAAAAUUCAAGAAAGUCUGAGUACUCGAAACAAAAAAUUUCUAUAAAAGUGGAGCAACAGAUACCACAAUUUCCUUUCCCUCACAAGCAUAGAAAAUUAAAGGAGGAUGCAUAUUUUAAGAAGUUCUUUGACAUAUUCAAAGAGCUUCACAUUAACCUUCCUUUGUUAGGUGUUUUACAAAGUAUGCCAAAGUAAGCUAAUUACUUGAAGGAUGUAGUUGUAAAUAAGGUAAAGCUGCAGGAUAUGGAGGCGGUACCACUCACUGAGUAGUGUAUCUCAGUAGUAACAUAGAAGAUUCCCAAGAAGCUUAAGGACCUAGGGAAGUUCACUCCCUCCAUUCAAAUUGGGAAUAGUGAGGUGGUCUAUGCCUUGAGUGAUUUAGAGGUAAGUGUCAACUUGAUGCCCCUAUCUUUGUUCAAUAUAUUGGGAUUAGGUAAGCCUAGACCGAGCUCGGUGCUACUGCAAUUGGCAAAUAGGAGCAUAGCCCAUCCCAAAUGAGUGAUAAAGAAUGUCCUCAUAAAGAUUAGUAAAUUCAUUAUUUCUAUUGAAUUUAUUAUUCUAAAUUUUUAUGCAGAUGAACAAGUAUCAAUUAUCUUAGGAAAUCUAUUCUUAGCAACCAGAAAAACGUUGAUUAAUGUGAGAAUGGGCACACUCACAAUGAGGUUGGAGGAUGAAGAGACGAUAUUUAAAGUUUAUAAACCGCUAAACAAACUAUCCCAUUCUAAGAACUUGUGCAUGAUCACUGUUGAAAGGGAUUAGUAUGGGGUGGUUAGUCUGCCAAAGACCUCUCCGGAAACCCUCAUUGAGCUGCCUAAGCACAACCAACAUAGCCCGACAUAAUGCAAAUUGAUGAGCCUGAAAAGGCUAAAGUUGAAAAGUUUAUUUCCCUUGAGAGUUCACACAUAAGAGGGGUGAAAAUAAUAAGAAUAUGGAGACCAAGUAUGAGAAAAAGAAGAAAAGAGAAUAACUAAGUCGUAGUUGGGUCAUCCCGCGAUAGUAAAUUAGGAACUUCUUGAGAGGCAACAUAAGUUAAGUAGUUAUGUUUUGUUUUUAGUUUUUGUUUCUAUUUCACGUAAUUUUUUAUUUUUAUCGAGUCAUAGGUUGAUGGGAAGUCUAAGUACCAGAAAUCUGAGCUAAGGAGGAUGGCGAAGACUAAGUGUGGGGUCCUCAGACCCUCUUAAUAUUUAAAGAUGCUACUAGAUAGGCCUAGAGGCCUCUGGGAGUAUUUAUAUCUCUACUUUUAAGUAUACUUUUGUGACGAAGUAGAUUUUUAAGUGUGCGGUGGGGAAUUUUCAUUUUUAGGGUCAAUUUUUAAGUGAGAUAUUCUUGUUGGUGCUAUAGUUGAUUGGGUGGUGCAAUUGAUUUAGUUGGAAAAAUCAUGUUGUGAAUGAUUGUGUGCUUUAUGUGUGAUAAUGAUUUUAACAAGUAUAUAAGUGUUCAAGGACUUGAUUACAAUGGUUAAAAGUGUUUUCAAACAAGUUUGUACUUAAUUGAGUCAUUUAGAGUUCAAUCGAGGAAACUAUUUUUACUAGCUUGAGCUAGUUGUGUGUCUAGUUGGUUUCAUUUGAUUCUAAUGUGUUAAAGGAGUUACAAAUGGUUUAAAUGUGUAAUUAUGAGUGGAAUAACUUACUAGUAAUGUGCAAGGUUCAAUUGGAUUAAGUUAAGAGUCAGAACAUAAAGUUGAAGAUCAUGGAAACUAGCCUAGUCUUAGCUCUUGUUUUGAUUCAUCGUUAUAGAUAUUGUGUUAUUAUUGUCUCUAAUUUGUGGUGUGUCAUUAUGUAGGAAGCUUUGUGAACUGAUUAUGGUGAUAUGGAUGAUAUAAAGGCUGGAAAUCAAUUAGAAUUACACCACAAAACAAGGGAUAAAAGAUUGGACGAGAAAGACUUACAAAAUUUUGAAAGCAAGUUCCAAUGAACAAACACGAUAUAUGUACAGUGCAUCACUUUUCAAUGCUAUAGGCAACGCCCUAUACUGUUUAUUCCAUAAAAUAGGUGAGGCAGUGUCACCUUUUCCAUGAAAUAAGAGAGGUGACACAUUGGCUAUUUCAUCCAUGGCCAAAAUGCAAUUCUUGACCUACACGAAUUAGGCUUGCAUUUUAUACUAUAAAUACAUGCUGUACAUGCUAUUUAUUCAAUCUUGGACAAUCUUGGACGUAUUGGAGGAUUGAGAGGCUCUUGGAACUUCUUUUAAGUUUUUUUUAAUUAUUUUAAUUUUGUCAUUCAUGUCAUUUAUUGUUAAAUACAAUCUUGUGAUUACGAUUAUGACUAUGCGUGGUUAAACGCCUACUUUUUGGAGUUAAAGCCAAGAACAUGAGUACUAUUAUUUUGAAUUAAUUUUGUUUGAUUUGCUUAUCAUUAUUGGUCGUGUGUUCUUUCUUGUUUUAACUAUUUUGAGGCUUGAUCACCCUUAGAAUACAUCUAUUGUCAACCUUGUGAUCUAGGGAGAGGGAAUUGGAAGAUAGAACAUGGGGAAUGAACAAAGUAUGGUUUGUAUUCUUGUAUGAAAUAAGGAAUUCAAAUUAGCGUCUAGGAUAGGGAUGCACUUAAAGGCCUUACUUGAUUCACACAUAGGAUGAUAGCUUAAAGAACUUAAUUGGAUUAUUACAUCCCCUCUCAAUGAUGUAGUUGUAAUGUUCAAAUUAGGUAAACGGUUAGAGGUCGGGAUGCCCCGAUUAUCCGAUUAACCCUAUGAAUCAACAGCCAAGAUAAUCAAGUUAAUGAACAAAGUUCAGUAACGUAGUAUGUUUGUUUAAAGUUCUUUAACCCUGGGAUUUUCUCCUAUUGAUUGUCUCAAGACCUUUAUCUUACACAUUGUUUACUUUACUUAGUUUACAAAUAUUUAAAACUCUAUUUUGGUUACUCUUGUAUCAAGUGAAUCAAAAUUGUGAACUAAAAACUCAUAGUUAUUAGAACGAGUCCCUUUGGGAUUGAUAUUCGACUUUUUUAAAUGUCAUUAUUUUACUUAGUAGACCAUGUACACUUGUGUAUAUGCUUGGGUGCUGUCAGUGUUAUAGGUCGUGGGGUCAAAAGGAGUUAUUUGGGGAAAUGUCCAUAUUACCCCCAACUUAAACUGUAAAAACUUUUGUAUUUCCGUACGAUUUGGACCACUCACUCGUACCCACAUCAUACUAGUAAUAGCUUCCACUCAAACCCUGAUUAGAAAAUUAGACAUUAUAUUUUGUCCGACAUAUGAAUCCUUAGGCUAACUCAUACCCUAACCAUAUGACUAGUACCACUCAAGUCGUACCCUAUGAAGAAACAUCUUGGCUAGACACUAGACAAUAUAUAGAAGAACACUAUACCCCUCGUAUCACGUACAUACAACUCGUAUGGAGUCUUCUUGUACCAAGAAUAGAACUUGGCCAAUAUCUCACUGACCAAUAUCCGACUAGGAUCCCUAGACCCAUACCCAUACUAUAUAACUAGCAUAGUGAGUCAUAUGAUCAACAGAAGGCUCAAACUCACAAAAUUUUUACAAGGGUCAGACUCAGGGAGUUUCACCUAGAAUGAUAUAAUUAUAUGUACAUGCAUAUGAAUGUGUGCAUUGAUUUUGAAUGGUUUGAACUAUUGAUCAUGGCAUUACUUUAUCCCUUCUCUGAGUUACAUGCCAGUGCUCACUUAGCUAACCUUAUUCGGAUGCUAUAUCCCCACAUAAUGCAAGGAACAGAGGCACUUUUACUUUUCCUGUACAGUGAUGGGUUUCUAGGUUAUCAGCAGCCAACUUUGAAGUGGUGAACUUCCAUUCUUCAAAAGGGCUAUCAUUUUAAAAUCUUGUUUUAUUCAUGUCUUAGGCUACUUCUAUUGAAUUCUUUUGGCUAUUAUCAGGGUCAUGUCCUGACUUAGGUAGAUAUUGGUUUUGUUUUAUAGGUUUUGUGGAAUACUGUGGAUUUUGGAUAGUUUUUGCAAUUCUUAGAGUUCUUUCUAAAUUAGUUGAUUUAUGUUAUCUUGUUAUAUGUUAAAGAAUCAAUUCUAUCUUGUUUUAUGUUUAAAACUCAUCCACUGCUAGUUGGGUUGUGUUUUGUUUGACUAGGCAAAGGAGGUGAUCUCCGAUCCUCAGUGGACUUGAAAUAUCAAUCAUGGUCAAGCCUUGGUUCGAGUCGUGACAAGCUUGGCAUCAUAUCCUAGGUUCAUAGUCAAUUGAGUGUCCACAAAGCCAUGUCCAAUAUAGUCUCUUUUAUGGGUAUGUAGCUCGCCACACUUAUAAUAGAGAGUCUACAAAGCAUUUAGGAAUGAUUUAUUUUCUUGUUGUUCUAUUUUAAGUUAUAGAGUCUAAGGUCUUCAAAUCCCCUUUAAUUCUAUUUGUUCGCAUUUAAGAUUAUACCUCUUCAAAGAUCUGAUGCUCGUGGAAACUCUUCUGUUCUAUUUGAGGACAAUAAGGCUGGAACUCACUCUACUUAUGGGGUACAUACUCUGUCUAGGGUACCUACUUCUGAUUACUCUCGUGGAGUUCCACCGGUUCUUACCAAGCCUCCUUGGGCUCCUCAGGUUGAUGAUGUUUAUUCCCUACCGCCCUAAGGAUAUAUUUCCAAUGAUGAGUUUUAUUGAUCUAUUUAUCUGCUGACUCAUUGGUGACUUAUUAGUCUCUUCAGCCUGAUCGUUUUGGUUCCAUUGCUCCGUAUUAUGAGGUCACUGGAGUUGGAUAGUUCAUGAGGCCGAAUCCUCUGACCUUUAUUGGAUCUAAGGAUGAGGAGGAUUCUUAAGGUUUUAUGGAUGAGCUAAGAAGAUAAUUAAGAGGAUGCAUACUUCUGACUUUGAAGGUGUGGAGUUUACCGCAUAUUAGUAGUAUAAAAAAUGGGAGCAGUUGAGAGGGAAUGAUCCUAAGCCAACUAUGUGGGAUGAUUUUUCUAGUGCCUUUUUAAUCUUUUAUUUCCUCAGGAGUUGAGGGAAGCAAAGUCAAAAGUUUGUAAAUUCAAGGUAGGAUGGAUGACGGUAAAGAAAUAUGCUUUAAAGUUCCAUCAUUUUUCUCACUAUGCUCUGGAGUUGGUGUUUAACAUAAGGGCUAGAAUGAGAAAGUUUAUUUUGGGUUUGUCUUGGGACUUAGUUUUGGAGUGCAACGCUUCAAUGCUAAAUAAUGAUAUGGAUAUCUCUAGACUUAUGGUUUAUAUGCAAUAAAUAGAUGAUGAAAAGAAAAAGCAAGAAAAAAUUUGGGAGAGACAUAAUAAGAGGUUCAUAUAUUUAGAGUAGGGUGGAGGCUAGUAGAAUAAUGGUAGACAUGGUAAACUGUGGAUCAAGAUGAAGAAUUGGAGAAGUUCUAACUCCUAUUUAACGACAAGUGCUCCUUUUCUAAAGUUAUUUAGUGAUCCUCGUAUCUAGACUAGUGUUAUUCCUAGGGCACAAGGUGUUCAGCCUUAGGCAAGUAGAGCCUAGUCAGACCCAUAUUAUUCUCUUUGUUAUUUUUGUGAACAGAUUCAUCAUGGUCAGUGUGAGGAGGAAAGGAAUCAAUGUUAUACGUUUGGUUAGAUUGGUCACAUGCAGGACAAAUGUCCUUCAAGCCAUGUUGCUACUAGAGCUAAUAAGGUUCUGAUUCUACUUCUUCAGUCCUGUACCCAAGGGUGCUACUUCUGGCUCUGACACUGGUCAGAAUUAUCUUUAUGCUCUUGACACCUGUUCAGAUCCGAGGCAUCUCCUAAUGUUGUUACUGGUAUGUUACAACUCUUCUCUCGAGAUGUAUAUUUUUUGAUUGGUCCUGGGUCUAUCCUAUCUUAUAUGACCCCUUAUAUUGCUAUUCAUUUUGGUUUCAGUCCUGAGUGCAUUUUUGAUCCCUUCUUUGUGUCUAUCCCGGUGGAUGAUUUUGUUGUGGCUAGAAGAGUCUAUAGGGGUUGUGAGGUAUCUAUCUAUGGUAGGGAGACCUUGGUGGAUCUGAUAGAGUUGAAUAUGGUAGACUUUGAUGUUAUUUUGGGAUGGAUUAUCUCCAUUCAUGCUAUCUUUCUCUAGAUUUAGGACCUGUAAGGUCAGUUUUUGAUUUCUGAAUGAACUAGUAAUUUGGUGGGGAGGGAGUUCUUGAGUACCUAAGGGAAGAUUUAUUUCUUAUCUUAGAGCUAAAAAUAGAUUUACUAGGGGUGUCUAUACCAUCCAGUUUAGGUUAAAGACUAUAGUUUUGAGGUUUUUUCUUUACAAUUUGUUUUGGUGGUUAACGAAUUUCCUGAGGUGUUUCCCGACGACCUUCUGGUAUUCCUCUUGAUAGGAAAAUAGACUUAGGGAUUGAUCUUUUAUCAGAUACCCAUCCUAUCUCUAUCCCUCCAUAUAAAACAGCUUCGACUGAGUUGAAAGGACUUAAGGAGCAAAGAAUCUUCUUGAUAAGGGUUACAUCCAUCCUAGUGUGUUCUCAUGGGGUGCUCUUAUACUUUUCGUGCGUUAUAAGGAUAGCUUCCUUCGGAUGUUCAUAGAUUAUCGUCAGUUGAAUAAGGUGAUGUGAAGAAUAAGUGUCCUCUUCCUAGGAUAAAUGAUCUCCUUAACUAGUUUCAGGAUGCUAAAUACUUUUCUAAAAUUGAUCUUUGGUACAGUUAUCAUCAGUUAAAAUUAGGCGGAUAUCCCUAAGACUACCUGAUAUGGUCAUUAUGAGUUUCUGCUGAUGUCAUUUGGGUUGACUAAUGCUCCGACUACAUUUAUGGACUUGAUGAAUCAAAUAUUUGAACAGUUUUUGCUUUUGUUUAUGAUUAUGUUUACUGAUGAUAUCUUGGUAUAUUCUAAGAGUGAGAAGGACUAUGCCAAUUACCUUCGAGUAAUAUUACAGGCUUUUAAGGAUUAAUGGUUGUAUGCCAAGUUUUAAAAAGUGUGAGUUUUGGUUGAAUGUUGUGACCUUUUUGGGUCAUGUUAUUUCUGUUGAAGGGUUCAUGGUGGAUCCAUAGAAAGUUGAGCCAGUUAAGAAGUGGCCUAGACCCACAACUUCAACUGCUAUUCAGAGCUUCUUGGGUUUAGUCGGUAUUAUAGGAGAUUUAUGGAGAGUUUCUCUGUGAUUCCUGCUCUGUUGACUAAGUUGACUAAAAAAAAAUAAAGUUUCUUUGGUCCGAUGCUUGCAAGGUUAGUUUUGAAAAGCUAAAGGACAAGUUGACUUUUACACCAGUUUUGACCCAACCCUAGAGUACUGAUGGGUUUGUUGUUUACUGUGAUACAUCCCGUGUAGGACCGAGUUUUGUGUUGAUGCAAUAUGGUAAGGUUGUCGCUUGUGCUUCUAGGCAGUUGAAAGUUCAUGAAAGGAAUUAUUCGACUCAUGAAUUGGAAUUAUUAGUAGUUUUUGCUUUAAAGACUUGGAGCCAUCACUUGUAUAGGGUGCAUAUAGGUAUCUUCUGAGAUCAUAAAAGCUAUGUUCACUCAGAAGGAGCUAAAUCUCAGACAUAGAAGAUGGCUUGAAUUGCUCAAGGACUAUGAUAUGAGUCUUUAUUAUCACCGUGGUAAAGCUAAUGUAGUUUUUGAUGCUCUUAGCAGGUCAUCUAUGGGUAGCUUAUCUCAUGUGGAUGCAGAGAAACAAGGAUUGGUGAAGGACAUUCACCGAUUAGCUAAUAUCAAAGUUUGUCUUUUGGAGUUUGGGGAUAGAGAUGUGAUAGUACAAGAGGUGGUGAAGUUAUCUCUUGGAGCUGAAGUAAAGAAGAAACAUGUCAUAGAUCCUAUCAUGAUGUAUAUUAAGUAUGAUGUGGGCCAACAAAAGGUUAUGUCAUUUGAGAUUGGUGGAGAUGGUAUCUUGAGGUACCGAGGUACAUUAUGCAUCUCUGAUGUGGAUAGUCUGUGAGAAAGGAUUUUGACUGAGGUCACGAGUUGUGGUAUAUAGUUCAUCCUGAUUUAAUGAAAAUAUAGCAUGACUUGAAGGAGAUAUAUUAGUGGAACAAUAUGAUAAGGGAUGUGGCAAAUCUUGUGGCUAAGUAUAUGGUGUGUCAGCAAGUGAAGGUUGAGUAUUUAAGGCUAGGUGGUUUGUCCUAAGAGAUUAAGUUGCCCGUAUAGAAAUGAAAAAUGAUUAACAUAGAUUUUAUUACCGAUCUUCUGUGGUCUCAUAGUCAACAUGAUUCGAUUUAGGUCAUCGUGGAAGGAUGCUUAUGUCUGCUCACUUCUUACCUGUAAGUAUGACUUACUUCAGUGAGGAUUAUGCUAAGUUAUUUAUUAAGGUGAUUUUUAAAUUCCAUGGUGCACCGACAUAUAUUAUUUCUGACCGAGGUACGCAAUUUUCUUCUCACUUUUUGUGGUAAUUUCAGAAAGGUUUGGGGACUAAGGUGAACGUUAGCACUGGUUUCCACCCUCAAAUGGAUGGACAAGCGGAGAGGAUCAUUUAGACUUUAGAAGAUAUACUGAGGGCGUGUGAUUAAUUUUGGAGGUUGUUGGGUGGAUCAUUUGCCUUUCAUAGAGUUUUUGUACUAGAACAGUUAUCACUCUAGUAUUGAGAUGGCUCUAUUCAAGGAUCUUUAUGGUAAGAGGUGAAGAUCUCCUGUUGGGUGGUUUGAGGUUGAUGAGACUAGGUCGUUUGAUCCAAACUUGGUUCACCAACCCACAGAGAAGGUUAAGGUGAUUAGGGAUAGGCUUAAGACCGCUUAAAGUUGCCAAAAGUCUUAUAUGGAUGUAAGGCGGAGAGAGUUAGAGUUGAUUUUGGUGAUUGGGCAUUCUUGAAGGUGUCUCCUAUGAAGGGAGUGAUAAGGUUUGGAAAGAAGUGGAAACUCAGUCCCCGAUAUGUGGAUCCAUACUUGGUUUUAAGGAACGUGGGCAAUGUUGCGUAUGAGUUAGAUUUGCCUUCGAGGUUGGGUUCCAUUCAACCAGUUUUUUAUGUUUCAAUGUUGAAUAAGUGUAUGGGUAAUACUUCUUUGGUUGUGCAUAUUGAGAGUUGACAUUUCGGACUCCUUAUCUUAUGAGAAAGACUCGGUGGAGAUUUUGGAUAAGCAAGUUCGUCAUUUGAGGACUAAGAAUGUGGCUUCGGUAAAGGUUCUAUGGAGGAAUUAAAAGGUAGAAGAAGCUACUUGGGAAGACGAAGAGGACAUGAAGUCCAAGAAUCUAUUCUUGUUCCCCGAGUUGGAUAACUGUGCUUAAGGUAUGCGAUUUUUUUAUCAUCUUAGUUUUCUGCCUUUGUUAAAGGAAAUUAUGGUUGUAUUUCUGUUGUAUAAUUGUGCUAAUGGAUACCUUGAGUCAUUAUUCUGGGAUGAAUGAUCCUGCGGGAUGGGGGAGAAUGUAAUACCUUGAAUUUUUUCCUCUAAAAUAUCUGAUAUUUUGGGAAUUACUACCCAAGAUAUGACUUACCUUACAAGUUGGAAGGUGCCCUUACGGGUCGUAGGACUCAAAACGUAGCCUGACCAGUAAGGUUUGACUAUGUUGCUUCCCUGACCACAACUCAACCUUAUGAGUCAUGAAUAAUUUGUACGAGUCAUGAUGUGCCAGCCGUAGGGUGACCAGUGUGUUACCCAAAGUCCCUGUCAUGAGUACGAUUGAGACUAUACGAGUCGUAAUAUGCCUUCUAUAGCAAACUAGUGUAGGGGCCCUUUAAUUCUGUCUUGACUAUGACUUAGCCCUACGAGUCGUAGGGUCAUAAUACGAGUCCUAAGGUGACCUGUAGUCACUGGAGAUAAUUUUUAGUGUUUUCAUAAGGGCACUUUGGACAUUUUCCUCUUUCCUCACUUAAGAUCCAUGGCUUAAAAAUGCAUUAGAGACCCUAUUUUUAACACUUUAGAAAUCAAAUACGUACUCUCUUCUCUCUCAAAUCCCUAAGUCAAGAACACUAGAGUUUUCAAGAGUUUAGCAAUUAGGGCUUCAAAGGGGUGAUUUCUGUCUAUAAUUGUGAUACUCUUAGGCAUAUUACUCUUCCCCAAAUCUUAUUUUGUUAAGGCAUGUGUUUUAAAUUGUUAUUCAUCUAUUUUGGUGUCGGUAUUGAUGGUUUUGAACUUGUGGGGUGCUUAGGAAUGGUGAAUAAAAUAGGGGGCCACGGAUUUCCCCAAAUUGAUAAUUUUAGUUAAUUAGAAUUGGUAUAAUCUCAACCCAAACUAGUGAAAAUGGUUUUUAAUAUGAGUAUAUGCAUAUUGAACUACUCUUGAAUUAUGGAAAUUGUAUAAAAAUGCUAAUGAAACAUAAACGGUUUGAAAGGACUUUAUGGCCAUGGAUUGAUUUUGAAAUGGAACUUUAGAGUCCAGAUGGCUAAACGAUUGAGUCCUAAGUGGCUAAAUAUUUUGAAGUCCUAUUGGCUGAUGGGAUAGAGUCCCAGUUGGCUAAAUAGGUCAGAGUCCUAUUGGUUAGUGGUUAGAGUCCUAUUGGCUAUUUGGUAUGGCAUGAUGACAUUCACUUGCAAGCUAUAGUCGGUAUGACGAUACCACUUGCUAUUGCCGUAAUGAAUGGCUCCUUAAUUAAAUGAAUGGGUUAUGUGCUAAAUGUUUUAAUUAGGCUUAAAGCGGGUUUUGUAGUUCACUGUGAAAGUGAAGGUCCCAAGAUGACUAAUACUGAAAACCCCAUUUGCCGGCGUGGGGUCUAAAUGACCGAGUGUUUGAGUGACCUUUAUUAUAUGAAUGAUUAUUUAAGUCCCUCUUGGUUCAUAUAUAUACACAAUUAUUCUCUGGUUCGUGUAACUACACACACUGGGGACUUUUAGUAGGGGAGAUAAACCCAUAUAUCUCGUAUGUGCUUUUAUUAUGAUGGUAGAAUUACACAGUCUAGGGUAAUGUCUUAAAGUUUAUGCAAAGCCUCGUUCCCUAUUCCGAUAUGAUACAUUUAUAUAUGUACAUACAUAUGAUUGUGUUCAUUGGUUUUGAAUGGUUUUGAACUGUUGAUCAUGGCAUUACUUUAUCCCUUCCCUGAGUUACAUGCUAGCGCUCACCUCGCUAAAUGUCUUCGAAUGCUGUAUCCCCACGCAAUAUAAGGAACGAAGACACUUCCACUUUUCCUGUGCGUGAUAGGAUUCUAGGUUAUCAACAAUCAUCUUUGAAGUGCUGAGCUUUCAUUCUCUGGAAGAUCUAUCAUUUUAAAGUCCUAUUUCAUUCAUGUCUUAGUCCACUUAUAUUGGAUUCUUUUGGCUAUCAUCGAGGGUAUGUCUCAACUUAGGUAGAUGCUGGGUUUGUUUUAGAGGUUUUAUGAAUUACUGUGUACGGGAUGUUGUUGCAAUUCCUAGAUUUCUUUCUGAAUUGUUAUGCUAUCUUUUUAUAUGUUUGGAACUCAAUGCUAUCUUGUUAUAUGAUCGUAAUUCAUCCGCUGCUAGUUGUGUUGUGUUCUAUUUGACUAGGCAAGGACGGUGGUAUUUUGUCCUCGAUGAACUUAAGAUACCCAUCAUAGUCAGGUCUUAGUUUUUGUCGUCAAAGAUUGACCCCAACCUAGUUGGGCUACUGUAUUUUGACAGUGACCGCUUUAUCCUUCUAAGGAGGGGUAGUUUUGGGCGUUAUCAGGGUAUAGGGCAGAGUAUGUAUAUCAAUAAACUUGGUGCGUGGGCGCAAAAGACUUAGUUUAUCAAUAAACUUAACAAGCCUAAGGAAAAUCAUGGCAUAUAAGAUUCAAUUCGCCUUCCAAUAUCAAGGUUUGUUAGAGAUGUCUAAGAUGGGAGAAACUACAUUAUGAUGAGCUCUGAUAGAGCAUUGAUUUGACCAUAAUUGGUACUAUUUUGUCAAUUAAAUAUCCAAGAGAUUUGUUGAUGUGAUCCUAAAAUUUUGAGUUGUGUAAUUAUUGUCUGUGGAAAUUUUUUUUUGCUAAGAACUAAGAAACGUGAUUUGAAAUUUUUUAAAAUGUGUUUCUCUGCUAAACUCAAGGUUUAGGUAAAGAAUAUAAGAAUUGCCGAUUUGGAUAGUGCUAGAACGUGAUGUCUCAUGAUGUUUUUAGUUUUCUAUUAUAACUUGGGCUUUACACCAAGUUAACUCUAGGAGGGAUAUACACCAUUCCCGGUAGAGACAGGCUGAUAUUGGAUAUGGAAAGGGGACAUAGUUCUAAAUAAAGAUAAUUUAUGGGUUAUAUACCUUGGGGUUCCGGAACACCUGUUUUUACCUAGCUACUUGCUAAAAUAUUUCAUAGACAGGCUAUCAAUUCAAGAUAAGAGUAUCUUGUGAACAACAUAAAGCUUAUUUUCGUUGACUUUUGGCUUUUCACAAGCCAUAAGUUAGAAUAAGCCAAUCCAUAAAAGUGCGUAAAGUUGUUUUGGCUUAAAAGAACUUAAAAUAAGCCUAUUCAAAUAGGUUAGUUCUACUUAGAUAAAAAUAUUUAUAGUAAGAACCUUCAACUAUUAUUUGUUCUAUUUCACAUAGUGUAUACACUUUUGAAACUUCAUUUAGACCUACAAUGGACCAUUUUAAUACCAUUAAAAUGCUUAUUCUAUUCGUAAUUUGGGCUAUUACCCCUCUCAAUGUGUCAUUGUUUAUUUUCGAUACUUUUAGAUUUUUCAUAAACCUUAUGUUACAGUGAAUUCUUUGUAUUUGUACUAACUAAUGUUGUUCUUAAUUUAUUAUAGGUUACAUCCACUGAUUUGAUUAAAAUAAUAGCAAGUAGAUGUAUUGUAUAUAAAAAGAAUGUGAUCUCUGUGUGUAUGCAAAAGGACUAAACGAAAUCAGUUGAGGACCAAAUGAUACAUAACAUAUGAUGUUGUUGAUUGGCUGGUUGAUAUUGCUUAGAUAUUUGAUUCCUAUUGUAAAUGUAUAAAGAUGAUGAGAUUCUUCCCCUACUUGAAAGUAAAAAUUGAUAACUUGUUAUUUUUUGAAGAUGAUCAUCUUUUUAGUAUACAUAACAAUGGAUCCUUAUGUGUGUGUAUUUACAAAUAGUUUGAUUCUUUCAUGUAAAUAUGGAUAAUUUGCCAUCUUCUGAAUAUGAUACUCUUCUUAGUCUCUUAUUAGUGGACAAUGAAAUGUUUUGUGCAUGCAUUAUUUAUACAUUGAUCAUGUUUUCUUUGCAAUGUUAUGCAUCAUAUGUUGGGACCGUGCUAUGCACCUCAUGCUUAGAUAUUGGGCACAAUCAUCAAGCAUACACUUAGAUAUUUACCUUUUUAUUGAUUUAUGUGUGCAUUAGCCCACAAGAUUUACCCCUCGAGUAGACGUUCUUGAAGACUUUUUAAUUUUUAUACGAAGGAGGUUAAGAAGUUUCCAUGCAUGUGUUUCUUAAGUACUAUUUUGCUUUAUCUGAUUCUACAGAUACUUCAGAUAAGGUGAUUGCAAAGUUUUGGAUGCAUGUGCCGGUUGCUAUACUGUUGUAGCCUAUGUAUUUUCACUUAUCCAACUUUGAAUAUAGUCCUCAUGCAUUAUUAUAUCUGCAGUGUAAAUUGAUUUAUAUAAAUGAAUAAAAUGUAAUAUUUGUUUAUAGAAAGAACAAAAUCUCAAGUACACAAACAUAUAUCUUAUAACUUUCAUGUUGGGAUCGUGCUAGCACAGGCAAACACUAUCUAGUAAUAUAUAUAUGGACCUUUGCCAAUGUUGGGUUGAGUGGUGAUUGGACGCUCUCUUGUUUAAUAUCUCAAACAUAUCUUGAUGUAAAAAUCAAACACUACUGGACUAUUUUUUAUUCAUUAUUCUAUUUGUUAUUUUUUUUAUUUUUUUGUGUGAUCAAAAAGAAAAAUUUCGAAAAAUUAAAUAAAUAUGUACCUGUUAAAUAGAAUUUACUUGUGUGAUCUAGAUGAUACAAGACAUUGCCAAAGAAACUUUGGAUGGGAUACAUAUGAUACUCGAGAUGCUUGACGACUCCUUAGUGUUAUAAAAAGAUGCAACAUGGAUGAAGAUUACCAAUAAAAAGGGUCAAAGGACUUUGACGAGGUCGAAGGAGUGCAAAAUGGGGCUCGAAAGCCCCUUGGAAGGGAUAUUCACCGAAGGCACUUUGGAUCCGCCUUUGAUCUACUCUAGCAUUUCAAGAGUAGGUCAAAACAACCCCUAGUAGGACUUUUCUUGCCAUUGGGUAACUUUUGGGCCCUAAAGGUGAAAUAAUUAGCCUAAACUAUAAAUACUUGGGAGAUAGCUUAUUUCCUUAGUUAGUUUUUGGAUAUUGAUUGAGAUGAAAUUCUUUUAGAGAGUGUUUUGAGUGAUUGAAAAAUUCAAUGUUGAUAUAUGUUUAGAAAUGGUGGUUGUAAGGGAGCUUCGAUUCCUUUGCGGUCAAAGAAAGAGUUAGGUGCUUGUUGGUAAUCAACGAGGGAGGUCUUAGGGUUGAAAUACCCUUUGGUUGCCCUUUUGUUAUCUUCUUUGUGACCAUCUUUCUGUCAUUAUCAUUCUAUCCCUUUAACUUUUAUUUUCCGCAUUUAGAUUCUUGUUCUCGUAUCUUGUCUUGAAUCAUUUAGUAUUAGAGCCAAGCUUGAUUUCAUUCUUACGAAGACAAACUUAGGUCUAGUCAUCUUAGAAAUCAAAAAAAUCACAAAAAAAGUUACUAUCCAAGUUUUUGUUCUUAGGUCAAAUUUUGAGUUUUUGACUUUUGAGUUUUCUUGUAUUUCUAGUGUUACAUUUGUGUUCCCUAACACUAUUAUAGUCCAAAUAUCAAAAUUUGAGCUAAAUCAGAGUUAUAUUAAUCUUCUACUAUCAUUACAAGCUUGGGUUGAAGAAAUUUGAAUUGAAUUUAAAAUAUGAAGAUUUUGGUGAGGAAUUUGAGGUAAAUGAUGUUUAGAAUGAGUUUAGAAAGUUGAAAAGCGUCUAGGUUCAAAAUCUCAACUUAUUCCGAGCUAAGGAGAUGUCACGACUAGAACUAAGGCUUGACUGGGUAUCUCAAGUCCCACGUGGACCGGAGAUCACCCCCUUCACCUAACCGAACCAACACAACAUCCCCAAAUGUUGGAUGAAUUUCGAACAUAUACCAAGAUAGCGUAUAAUAGAAUUAAUGAUAAUUCAUGAUAUGUCUAUACCAACCACGGUAACCAGACAACCGCCGGUCACCAAACAAUCAACCAAACCACCCAAGUCCCCAGUAAUCCGACAAAGCCUCUACAAAAUUGAAAAUCGUUAAAAUGUCGGGACAUGUCCCCGACAAUAGCCAAAACCAAUAUCCGAAGAAAUAAUCAACUCAUAAAUAGGAACUAUAAUAUGAACUAGGGUCUUCCGAAGGAUGGAAGCUCACCACUUCAAUCUGACUCUCUAGAUGAUCCUGAAUUGAAGUCACUGAGCAGGAGAUGUGGAAGUAUGUCUGGUUCCUAUAUCGCGUGGUGAUACAACAUCCGAAGAUGGUUAGAGGUUGGAGCACUAGCAUGUAACUCAGGGAUAGAGGAACCAAAUAAUGCCAUGAUAACAGUUCAAAACCAAUACAACAUUCAGUGCAUAAUAUCAUAUGAGUAUACAUAUACAUAUAUAAUACCACAUGCUGGGGUAGGGAGCAAGGCAUAGCAUGAACUUUGAAAACCUUAACCUGGGAUGUAUAGCAUAGUCGUCAUAAAACAAGGCACCCACGGGCUAUAAGGGCCCAGUUCUCCCCUAGAUGGAAGGGCCCAGUGAGAGUAGGCACAUAAACCAGAGAAUAUCUAUAUGCGUAUAUAACUUUAUAGAGGAAUAUAACCUCACAGCAUGACAUGACUCAAACCAAGGCCUUGUCGUAAUGGGCAUCUCAAGUCGAACAAGGACCGGAGACCAUUCCCGUUACCCAAUCCAACCAACCAAUAUAUACCCUGAGUUGGAUAAAUUUCAAACAUAUAACAAGAUAGCGUAUUCGUACCAAUCUAGACUCUGGGAUAGGUCAACAACCAUGACCAACCCAAGUAAGUCCAACCAUCCGAUACUAACCAACAACCAUAACCAAAAUGAAUAAUAACAAAGUUCCUAUCCAUAACAUAACAUAAAUGGAUGGAAAAAUCAUUAUAAAGUAAAAUAGUAUCAUCCCAAUACCAAUACCGAUACUAAGGCUAACACCAUUACCAACAGCGCCCAUUCCAACCCAUAGUAGUUCCACAAAGCCUCUGACUAAAGGAAGAACAAUAUUCGGUUGGGACAUACCCCUAAACAUAGCAAUAACCAAUAUCCAUAACAUAACCAAAGUAUGUAAAGACAUCCAUGAUAUGAAAUGGAGCCUUGCAGAUUAUGGAAAAUCACCACUUCAAUCCAACAACUGAUCCUAAAUCCAAUCACUAAGCAGGAGGAGUAGAAUGGCCGAAUCCUUCAUUGCAAGGGGAUAAAGAUGCCUAAAGAUGGGUUAGUGGAUGAACUUUAGAAAGUACUCAGGAUAAGGAUAAAAUAAUGCCAACCUUUAAAAUCAAGUAAAUAGCCAGAUGCAUUCAAAGCCAUAUAUAUAUAUAUAUCCAUGUCAGGAAAGGAAACCAGGUCUAGCAUACAUUUAAAACUAUUAACCUAGAUAUGUGUAGCUUAACCGUACUAGAAUAACCAACGGGCUAUAUAGGUCCAGUGUAACCCCCUGAAUGGGCCCCGAUACGUGUAGCCACAUGAACCUGAGAUACCAUAGGAGUAAAGGAUUCCCAAGUACCCUUUGGUCUCCAUGAUAUAUAUUUAUAAGUAUAACUUAGGGGAUUCCCAUGUACCCCAUAUGGUCAUUAUGACUCCUCAUUUCGGCAAACAUGAGUUUCCAGUGUGCGUCCAUUAGACUCAAACAUUCAUGGUUAGCUAUCACACCUCACCAUUAUUUUUUAAUUAAAACCAUUUCCACACAACCAAACCACCAUUCCAUUUGUUAUUAACCAAGACUACAAGUAUUGGUAUCGUCAUACCGACUAUAGCUUACAAGCAAUAUCCUUAGCCAACCUUUUAGAGAAGAAAGGAUCCUUAUGUACCCAUGGACUACACUGUUUAGUUACUUGAAGGAUUCCCAUGUACCCCACAAGUAUGUUCAUUACUUAGUUUGCUCAGGGGAUUCCCUUGUACCCCACAAAGCUUUCAAUUGAACCAACCAUGACCACUAAGACCUUAGCAUUUAACCAUUACAAACCAUUUAUACCAUUUAGGGUUCCAUUACCAAGUUGUACCAUGCGAUAGUUUUAUUAAAAGUCCAACAAUAUAUUAAAAGCAUUCUCAUAGGUGUUUUAUCAAACAUGUUGAGGGAAUAGUAUUUCCAAAGCCAAAACCAAGUACCAAUUAACCAUUCCCAUGCAACCAAGUGUUCAACCAUCAUCAUAAUAUGCAAACCAUAUGUAAAAGACAUGGGAAAACCAAUAUCAACCAUUAUAUCCAAAACCCCAAACAUAUAUUUGAAAACCCAAAACAAUACGACAAUUAUGCCAUGAAAAUAAUUCAUAAAACAUGCCUUUAGUUGGAAUUAACAAUGAGGGAGGAGUAUCACACCAUAGAUUGAAAAGAAGAUGAGAAGAAAUCACCCCUAAGAGCCUCAACUGACCACCUUGAAUGAAACCCUAGCUUUUGCUUAACCCAAGAGCCUUGAGAGAUUUUGAGAGUGUUUAAGUGAUAGAAAAUAGGUUAAUGAAGCCUCAAAAAAGUAUUUUUAGUCAAGGGGUACCAAGGAGUUAUAAGGGGUGUAGACACCUAAUUUUUUCCCAUCUGAAAUUGAGUUUUAUUCAUUUUAGUUCAUUUUACCAUGCACCCUCACCCAUGUGAUUAUACCCCACAAAAAAAUAUAAUAACAACUCUUAACAAACCACUAACAAACCCAAUCCUCAAUUAUUCUCUUGGUAAUAAAAUUAACCCCUCCUCCUAUCAAUUCUGGACAACUCAUCACCACCCUAUGCCCACGUCACUACCCCUACCCCUACCUUUAAACCCCCUCCAUAUUUUUUUUCCUAAAAAGAAAAGGAAAGAUAGCAAAAAUAAAAAAAGGGGGGCGGGACCCACUAAAAAAGGGACACCUUACCCCUUAAUCCAACAAUACAUACUCUACUCACCAUAUAUAUGGAUCUUCUCCAAAAACACCAGAGGAGGACAGACGAAAACACUCUAUUCUUCGACAACAAUACAGAAUCCUCACAAUCCUCACCUUACACAUAAUUUAGUCUAUACAACAAUUUGUCACUACACAGAUCUGGAAAACAAAGUGGUCCACUAAUACGCACACCAUCAUUAAUUUAGAGAACACAGAUCACAUAGACACCAUUCUUGAACAAUAGAACUCACCAUUUUUUUACCAUCAGUGUACAACACAUAAUAGAAAUGAUAUAUAGACGAUACCCAUCACUCACCUUACUGGAUAUAAAAUUUCACACAUGCACGGAGAAAAUAUGGGAAACAAAAAAAUUGAUUGGUAAAUGGAGAAAUCCAACGGGUGAACAGUAAUCAAGAGAAAAAAAGAGAAAAUCCAAUGCUCGUUGACUAUUUCUAGUAAUUUUAUCACCGAAAAUCCAUUAUAUUUGUCAUUAGGAAACGUCGCUGGUGGUACUCUCUCCUAUUUUGGCGAGACCCAUUUAAAAUUGGUAUGAAAUCCGCAAUUUGAGGUUUGUAUUGAGGGUUUUUCUACUGGUUUAAGUCUAUCUGCAUCUUAAUUUUUCAAUACCGAGUUGGAGUUGGUCCGUUAUUAGGUUUGAAUCAAAGGUUUCAGACGUGGAUUCUACAAAUUUAAUUAGAAUAAUACAUCGAUUUUGAAAGUGGCAUUAAGGUUUAAUUUUAUCUCCUCCCUCUUUAAUUUUUACGUGAAUGUGAAUGAUUUAUUGUUUGACAUGUUUGAAUCAUUGUUUUGUAUUGGUGGAUGUUGGAUUUAAUGUUAAAAACUUGAAUUUAUAAUCGAAGCAUGUGUUAUUCAUUGGUUAAUGGAUUCGGGGGAUCAAAAUUUGAUAAAAGAUGAAUAAAUUAUUUGUUUUGAUUCAUUGUUAUUGUUACUUGGUGUCUAAUUGUCAACUCCUCGAUAGUAUCAUAAUAGGUCGAAUGGAAUAAGCAAACAGUAGGCCGAGGUAGGCAAAUUUAGGACUUGGAGAACAUUGAAUGCUUGAAAUAUACGUUGAAUGGAUUGGUUUGGUUGCUUUUGGAUCAAAUGUAUCAUUUGGCCGGGGAAUGCCUCGAGGUAUUUGUGUUUAUUUUUCGGGGAAUGCCUGAAGUAUUUUGUACUCGAAGGACAUUUGUGACGAAGGUCCAAGGCAUCGGGUAAAACAUUGAAGCGUGGUUUAGGAUUUGUGUAGGUUUAUUUUUUAGUACCUUUUUUAUUUUGGGCUGCAAUAAUUGGACUGGACACUAUAUUUUUGGACUUGUUUUAUUGUUUGCUUGCUUGAUUGAUUUGUGUGUUUUAUACAUUCAUAGUUUUAAAUUUGCCAAUACUCUCCACUAAGAAACCAUGGUCGAACCACAGAAUCGAGGGGUGCCUAACACCUUCCUCUAGUCAAUAGAAUUCCUUAACCAGAAUCUCUGUUCGCAGAACAGUUUAACUAACUCAAAAUCGUUUUGAAAAAGGAUAUCCAUGGGUGACUUGGCAUACCCAAUUUAUGCCAAGUGGUAACUCUGAGUUUUGAUUAUAAUGAAUCCUUUUCAAAACAAAUCUUCAUUUUGUCACCUAAUGAUAAAACCCUUUUCGAACAUAUAAACUUAUAAUCAUUUUGGUUAAAAAAAGGGGCGUGACAACUCUGGUGACUCUGCUGGGGACAUUUUCAGAAUUCGAGCUUAUUUUGGAGUUAUAUCGACUUAGUUUGGCAUUUUGAGUGUAUAAACGUUGUUUGUGUUAUCAUUUGUGUUAUUAUUUUUUGAGUGCCUACAUGCUCUUUGUUUAUAGUUUUUCUCUAUAUAUUACCACUUUAUAUCUGGCAUCAUGUGUAUAACCCGAGUCAAUUCUUUUUGCAACAAGUCCGUAGUACACGCUGUGUACACGACCUCAAGUUGAGUCACCCUUAUCUUAGGAGAGGGAGCCGUCGACUGGUAUGGAGUGGGUGAAAAGCUAAAGCAUCCACUAUCGACCAUACGCUCCCCCAUACAGCCUUGUUAGUGAAUCUCAGCGUAGGUCAACCUUUAGGUCUUACUUAUCUGCAUCAUAUUGAGACCUAGCGAGACCCACUUGGUCCUUUGUAGGAGACUCACCUCUAAAGCAUCCCUACGUGCGAAAUAUUACAUUUUUGAGGGAACGUGGUUAUUUGACAAACCGAUUUAGGAAAAACAUGUGUUAAGAGUAAAGUGUCAAGGUGAGAAAUUGUUGAAAAAAAUAGAGGAGUGAAAAAAAAAGAGAGUUUCGUAGCAUUUUAGAGUUCUUUAUGGCUUUUAUUUUUCACAACCCAAAAAUUCAAAAAGAUUUUUUUUACAUUUUGCACUCAUUUGUCAAAAAACAAAAACAGCAAAAAAAUUUUCUUUUCGUUUCUUUAGAAAGCAUUCACCAGUCGAAAACUCUAAAAAGAUUUUUCCAAUAGGAGCUUUUUAUAAAAGAAAAAUUCAAAAAAUAUGGUAGAAAUUUUGUAUAUUUUAUAUCAAAAAUAUCAAAAAGAUUUUUAUUUCAUAAUUGUUGGUGUCAUUUUUAUGUUGUCUCAAAUUGAAAACUCAAAAAAUAUUUUCUUAACGUUUUUCAUCAUCUACCUUUGUCGUAUCUCUCAAGUCAUGGUUCAUCAGUAUCCCUAAUUGUCCAACCUGGACGAACUACACACCCUUGAUUCUCCUCUUUCGGUAGUGAGAUAUGUAGGUUGCCUAUCAUUGGUUCGGGAAACUUAUUUAAAAUAUUCAAAAAGAUUUUCUUCACUCUUUAUUAGAGUAGGUGUCAUAUAUGACUCUAAAAGAAAACCACAAAAGAUUUUCUUUUAAUAGUUUCUAGUUUCAUUUUUGUAUUAAAUUCAAAAUUUAAAACCCAAAAAAAUUUUUCUUUGGUAAUCAUAGGUUUCAUUUUGUAUAGAAAUCUGAAAGAUUCAAAAAGAUUUUGUUCACUCUUUAUUAGAGUAGGUGUUUCAUAUACAUCUUUAAACGAAAACAACAAAAAGAUUUUUCCUUAAUAGUUUCAAGUUUCAUUUUCGUAUGAAAUUUAGAAUUGAAAAACCCAAAAAAGAUUUUCCUUUGGUAAUCAUAGGUUCCAUUUUGUGCUGGGAUUUAAACAUGAAAAAUGCUAAAGGAUUUUCAUUAAUUCUUUUGACAAUUUGUCAUUUUCUUUUCUUUUUAAAGUUUUAAAAAAAAAGAAAGGAAAAAGAGUUUAAUGGCCAUUUUGGCAAGACUUCACGAACUACGCAUACGUGAUUCUUUCCUCCUGGGGGUGAGAUACAUAGGUGCCAUUCUCGGGUUUGGUGAUCUUUUCAAAAUAAAAAAAGCAAAAAAGAUUUUGAGAAAGUAUUAACUCUAACAAUUUUGUUAUCUCUUGUUCAGUUAGUUUAAGGUGGUUGGUUUCUGGUAUUGUAGCUGGUUCUCCACAUUACACUAAAUCCAAGGAAGGGUUAAUUAUGUCUAACAGGGAUAUAGAGAGUGACAUCAUGGAUCGAGCUAUGAGUCAGGAAAAUGAGAGUUUAAAAGUAGAGAUUAGCAAACUAAGGCAACAAAUGACGAAAAUGCACCAACCUUGGGCCAGUGGGUUGCCUCUUCCUCGAUGCCCGCUAUUGAUCCUACAAAUACCUUGAGUCUUACACCAAAAUUAAAAAUUUAGUUUUCUACAGUUGUUGAUGCAUUGUAACAUGUCUCAGAAUUCAUUCCAAUUCAAAAGCAUCCCCAUACUUCCACCACUCUUUCUCUAGCUCCUCAGCAUAAGCCUACUAUAUUCACAACACCAUAUGUCAUCUGUGAUUUUGUUGCUCAAUCCUCUACUAAGGCAUCUACAUUGACUAGCUGUCCAACAAUUGUGCCUCCCAGUGCUGCUAGUGGACUCAUGUUCAAUACUCUUGGUGAUCAUUGUUAUACUCUUGAGCCUACUUUUAAGUUUACUGGACCACCAAAAUUUCUUAACAAGAAGCCUAGUGUGCCAGAAGAGCUAGAUAAAAUGGUUGAAAAAAUAAAGAGUGCAGAAAAUGCUACAAAAAAUUCCCUAGGACUUGUGGGUAAAGAAGAUGUUACAUACAAAGACUGGGGCAUGUAUUCAAGUGAUAACCUUCCUCCAAUCCUAGAGAUAUUAAAAUUUGAGGAGCAAGAUGGACAUGAGGAGUUACAAUCAAUUAAGGGAAACUGGAGGGAAGAAGAAUGAGAAAGAUGCAACUGCUAUUAUAGUUAGAGAACGGGCACAUCCAAGAAGACGACGUCGUCGUUACCACCAUUCUCAAGCCCAAAUUCAUACCCAAGCUUUCUAUAAUCACUCCCAAAAUUCAUUAUACUCCAUUUCCCCACCUCCAUAUCUAGCAUAUUGCGCACAACCAUAUCUUCAACUCCCAUUUUAUUCACAAUGGCGCACACCAACUCCUCAGAGUUAUCCUCUAACUCCACAAAUAAGUCAAAGCCCUUCUAGGCUCAAUGUUAGAUCCAAGGACAACAAUGAAAAGAGACAAAAGCCUAGGGAUAGUUUUACACCAAUUAGAGAUUCGUAUGCCAGUUUAUUUUAGAGAUUGGUACAGUAGGCAUGAUCACUCCUCUCCUUGGGUAUACUCCUGACCUGCAUUUAAAAAGUUUUGAUCCUAAUAUAGGAUGUCCAUAUCAUUCUGAUGCUUAGGGGCACAGUAUUGAAGAUUGUCGUGCUUUGAAAAGAGAAAUAAAAAAGAUGAUUCAAGAUAAAUUGAUUACGGUGCAUAAAAUUGAUAGUGAGGAAAGCUCUAGUCAUGCUGAUAUGCAAAUCAGUGGCUAAGAUGUCAAGAUCAGCAAUUGAGAAGUCACCCCUCUCCCUACUAGGAAGAGGUCUGGCAGUUUAUUUUUUUUUUAUUUUCUAUUUUCCAAAUUACUUUAGGGUUGUAGUUCGGGAUCUAUCUUAUUUUAUCCCUUUGUCGUUUAUGUUUAAAGCUUUCUAUCUUUAUUUUAACUAAAUAAAAUGCCCCUUUUUUCUUUUUUUUUUUUGUUUUAAAUAUGUGUUGUUUGUCUGUUUUCUUUACAUUGUACAUUUUAUGUUGGCUCUAGUGAUAUGACAUGCUUGUGGAAUUUUCAGUUGGAUCUUAAAAUCCAAUUUGAGCAUGAACUCUGAAUCAGGGGGAUCGAAUUAGAAAAAAGGCAUUCAAAAAUAGGUAGAGUUCUGAGACAUUUGGUGACAAGUUGAAGCCUUCUUUGAAAAUUAAGGCAAUUAUUUUGACAAUCGCAAGAUUAAUUUAGUAAUCAAUUGAAAGACAUGUCUCGAUUAGGACAAACAGUGGCUGUGUGAUCCUAUAUCAAGAGGAACAAAAGAAAAUUAGCUCCAUGAAGUCAUGAGUCCUUCAGCAUGAGGAAUGUACAAAAAAUGAAGUUGUAUGCUGGACAUGCGCAAAAAUAGUAUGAUGCACAUGAUUAGUUAAGUUAGUACUGUAAAAAUUACAUACAUGAUCUUCAUCUCGCACUUUCAUAUUGCAUGUUAUGUACUUGAAUUUUUAAGGAUUGAUAUGAUGAAGGCAUUUUAUUCUGCUAUCUAAAUAUUGUGUCAUCCUUUGUUUACCCUUUUGAGCCUUAGUUCUAUUUUCUUUCAUACCCCUCUUUUGGAAUCAAGAUAGAGUCUGCAAUGUCCAACAAAAAGUGUCGAGUAAAAAAAAAUAAAGUCAGAAAAGUUUCAAAAAAGAGACAAAAAUGUGUUAAAAAAAAAGAAAAGAAGAGUGUCAAUAAAAAUGGAGUAAGAAAAAAGAAUCCCAAAGAGAAAAGAGCCAAUAAAAGAAAAAAAAUUUAAGAAAAAUUAGAUUAAAAGAAAGAACAAGUUGCCUGAACUAUGUGUGACUUGAUUCUACUAUCUCGAGAGUGAGAUACGUAGGCUGCCCUACUCUGGGAUCGGUCCAACCAAAUAAAUAAUUUAGAAUUGCCCGGUCAAAAGAAACUGGGGCGUGAGUUAAUCCUCAUUAUUUGAGUUGAUUCCAAAAGUUGUAAGUCCUACCCCACUUCAAGUAUCGUUUGAACCUCAUGCCAUCCUUUCUUUCCAACCUUAUCCAAAAACCAAGUUACAACCAAAGAAAAACCUUUGAAUCAAUCUUUGAGAAUGUUAAGGCUAAGCAUGCAAUGCAUAUGAUGAUGUAUUUUGGGAACUACUUGUCUUCCCCAGCAUAAGGAAUCAGGAGAGAAAUAAAAAUGAGAAAGUCUUAUUGGUGAAAACACUCAUGGGCACCAUAAGGAGAUGGUAAGUCAAGAGAGAUAAAAAUGAGAGAGUUUUAUUGGUGAAACCCUCAUGGGCAAUGUAAGACGACUGUGAGAUGAGAUAAAUGAUAAUAAGAGAGUCUCAUUGGUGAAAAACCCUUACAAACACCAUAAGGCAAUGGUGAGCUGAAAAAAAGAAAAUGAGAUAGGCUUAUUGGCGAAAACCCUUCAAGGCGCCACUAACUGAAUAAGGACUUAAAUACAAUUGACCUAAGGAAACAAGUCAGUUCCAAAACUAUUAACUCAACAACAACUGGUAGAAAAUGUGGAUGGAAAGAUCAGGCAGAGCAAUCCAAGAUAUAUGGCAUAAUCAUUAGAGUUGACCGUUAUUUUUAGAUAAAUAUUUUUUCUUUGUUUCAAAUGGGGACGUUCAUAGUAUUUUCUUUCUUCUUUGUGUUUUUAUUUUAUUUUAUUUUUUUGAGUCAGUUAACCAAGUAAAAAAUAAAUCAUUGUCUUUUUUUCUUUUGUCUUUGAGUCAAGUUCAUGUCAAAACAAAUGAGAAAAGAUUUCAAAACUGGCUACCAGCUUCUUCAAUUGCACAAAGCAAGACAAAGUGCCAGUACAUGAAAGAAACAGGAUUGCAAGUCAUAAUAAGGCAUGCAGAAGGUUUUGUCAACACAUAAAUUUGGGGAAUUCGUGGAAAUACCAAGGUUUAAAGGGGAUUGUCUGAGAAACAUAGCAAAACAGAGAUACUGUGUUUGUUUUAGAGUUACUCUUAAUAUUCUAAGUUUGGAACAACGGUGCAACAAGACAAUGACAAAUGCUAAUGAUUGGAAGCAAGAUCUAAAUGGGACAAGUGUAAGAGAAAUCUCCUCAAAUGCCAAAGCUGCAAGCCAACCACACUGUCUUAAACUCACAAGUUUUGUUUAUAUGAAAUAGGAACAAUUACGACCUUCCAAUCAAGGGCUUCAAAGCACAAAUAUCCAAAGGUACAAUUCCUCAUUUUUGCAAAUAAAAAUGCCAUGUUGCUGUACAGGUUUGGUAAUCCCAAUUUUGGUAAAACUCAUCAUCUUGUACCCCUCAGAAAUACAUUCUCUAAUUUGGGUCUUUCAUGUCUCAUGGCUAAGAGGUGCACUUCCUAGUUUGAAUCGUUAAUUCUAAGAAGAUGCACUUUUAGCAAGAACCCUUUACUUUCACUUGUAAGAGAGGAAUUUAUUGGUCUAAUUCAGGAACUUUCAUCCUUAAAAGUGCACUUAUUGAUCAAAAUCUUGAUUCACCUUAGUAUUACACACUGUUGCAAGUAGUUGUGAUUGGGUUUGACACCCGUAAAAGCUUUUGAUGAAAAUUGGGGCAAAAAUUAAAAAUAAUUCAUGUUAUAUGGAACUUCACUUCAGGAACCUCCUGGAAAAUAGGAAUUUACUUUAUGUUCAGGACCCUCCUGGAAAAUGGAAAUUUACUGUAUGUUUAGGACCCUUCUGGAAAAUGGAAUUUUACUUUAUGUUUAGGACCCUCCUUGAAAAUAGGAGUUUACUUUAUGUUCAGGGCCCUCCUAGAAAAUGGGAAUUUACUUUAUGUUCAGGACCCUCCUAGAAAAUGGGAAUUUACUUUAUGUUCAGGACCUUUCUGAAAAAUGGAAAUUUACUUUAUGUUCAGGACCCUCCUGGAAAAUGAGAAUUUACUUUAUUUUCAGGACCCUCUUGUAAAAUUGGACAUUACUUUAUGUUCAGGACCUUCUUGAAAAAUGGGAAUUUACUUUAUGUUCAGGAUCCUCCUGGAAAAUUAGAAUUUACUUUAUGUUCAGGACCCCCCUAAAAAAUGGGACAUUACUUUAUGUUCAGGAUCCCCCUGAAAAAUGAAAAUUUACUUUAUGUUCAGGACCCUCCUGGAAAAUGGGAAUUUACUUUAUGUUCAGGACCCUCCUGAAAAAAUGAGAAUUUACUUUAUGUUCAGGGCCCUCCUGAAAAAUAGGAAUUUACUUUAUGUUCAGGGCCCUCCUGAAAAAUGGGAAUUUACCUUAUGUUCAGGACCCUCCUGGAAAAGGGGACAUUACUUUUAGAAAAAUGAAAUCUUUCUUUAUCAUAAUCUUUGUUUGGGGAAUUUUUGUUCUAGUUUUGAUUUUGAUUUUUGGAGCCCCACCUGAAGAAUAGGGUGAUGAAAUGGAAAGUGAGGAGCCCGCCUGAAGAACAGGGUGAAGAAAUUGUAUGUCAGGAGCACGCCUUUAGAACAGGGUAAUGAAAUUGAAAGUUGGUAGCUCGCCCAAAGAACAAAGUGAUAAAAUUAAAAGUCAGGAUCCCACCUAAAGAACAAGGGUGAUGAAACAGAAAGUCAAGAGCCCGCCGAAGAACAAGGGUGAUGACAAAUUGCUAGGCAGGAUCCCGCCUGAAGAAUAGGGUGAUAAAAUUAGAAGUUGAUGAGAUGGCAAGUCAGGAACCUGCUUGAAGAAUAGGGUGAUGAAAUUAAAAGUUGGGAGUUCACUCGAAGAAUAGAGUGAGAAAAAUUUCAAGUCAAGAGCCCACCUGAAGAACAAGGUGAUGAAAUUAGAAGCUGAUGAAAUGUCAAGUCAGGAGCCCACCUGAAGAACAGGGUGAUGAAAUUAAAAGUCGGGAGCUCACCUAAAGAACAGAGUAAGAAAAAUUGUAAGUCAAGAGCCCACCUGAAGAAUAGGGUGAUGAAAUUAGAAGUUGAUGAGAUGGCAAGCCAGGAGCCCUCCUGAAGAACAGGGUGAUGAAAUUGAAAGUCGGGAGCUCUCCCAAAAAAUAGAGUGAGAAAAAUUACAAGCCAAGAUCCCUCCUGAAGAACAGGGUGAUGAAAUUGUAAGUCAGGAGCUUGCCUGAAGAACAGGGUGAUGAAAUUGGAAGUUGAUAAAGUUGGGAGCUCGCCCGAAGAACAGAGUGAGAAAAUUGCAAGUCAGAGGCCCGCCUGAAGAAUAGGGUGAUGAAACUCAAGUCAACAACCCAAAAGAAGCUGUAUAGAUAGGACUUUUGUAAUUUUUGUUAUCUUUUAACUUAUAAUUUUCAUUUUGAUGUAAUAACAGAGCCGCGGAUCGGAACUUUGAUAGAACCUCACUCGACCCUUCGACACAGUAUAGUCCCUUUUCUUCUGACUCUUUGAGAUACUUGUGACUUGAUUCCCUUAUAACUAGAGAUGUGUAUGGUGUCCAAAAUCAAGACUUGGUUUCCCUCAUUCCGUCUGUUUCAUUCUUUUUGAGUAAUGGUCGGGACAAAACUCUGUCCCGUUGUCUACUUCUUUGUCUAAGAACACUUUGUGUUUACAUACAAAGGGGGCAUGCUGUAGACACCUAAUUUUGUCCCUUUCGAAGUUGAAUUUAAUUCAUUUUAGUUCAUCUUACCAUUCACCCUCGCCCAUGCGAUUAUACCCCACAAAAAAAAAUACAAUAACAACCCUUAACAAACCCCUAACAAACCCAAUCCCCAAUUAUUCUCUUGGUAACAAAAUUAACCACUCCUCCUAUCAAUUUUGGACAACUCAUCACCACUCUAUGCUUACCUAACCACCCCUACCCCUACCUUUAAACCCCCCUCUAUAUUUCUUUUCCUAAAAAGAAAAAGAAAGAUACCAAAAAUAGAAAAAAAGAUGGUGGGACCCACUGAAAAGGGGACACCUCACCCCUCAAUCCAACAAUACACACUCCACUCACCAUAUAUACGGAUUUUCUCCAAAAACACCAAAAGAGGACAGACAACAACACUCUAUUCUUCGAUAGCAAUACAGAAUCCUCACAACACACACAAUUCACUCUACACAGUAAUUCGCCACUACACAAAUCUGGAAAACAAAAUGGACCACUAAUACGCACACCAUCAGCAAUUGAGAGAACACAGAUCACAUAGAAACCAUUCUUGAACAAAAGACCUCACCAUUUUUUCACCAUCAUAAUACAACACACAGUGGAAACAAUACACAGACGAUACCCAUCACUUACCUCACCGGAUACAGAAUUUUACACAUGCAUGGAGAAAAUAACAGGAAAUAGAAAAAUUAAUCAAAAAGCAGAGAAAUCCGAUGGGUGAACUGUAAUCGAGAGAAAGAGGGAGAAAAUCCAAUGCUCGUUGACUGUUUUCGACGAGUUUCUCACUAGAAAUUCAUUAUAUUUUUCAUCAGGAAAUGUCACCAGUGGUACUCUCUCCUAUUCUGGUGAGACCCAUUUAAAAUUGGUACGAAAUUCGUGAUUUGGGGUUUGUAUUGAGGGGUUUUCUACUGGUUUAAGUCUGUCUGGAUCUCAAUUUUUAAAUACCAAGUUGGAGUUGGUCCGUUAUUAGGUUCGAAUUGAAGGUUUUGGAUGUGGAUUCUAUCGGAUUUAUUCAGAAUAAUACAUCGAUUUUGAAAGCCGCAUUGAGGUCCAAUUUUAUCUUCUCCUACUUUAAUUUUUACGUAAAUGUGAAUGAUUUGUUGUUUGACAUAUUUGAAUCUUUGUUUUGUAUUAGUGGAUGUUGGAUUUGAACAUUGAAAACUUGAAUUGAUAAUCGAAGCAUGUGUUAGUCAUUUGUUAAUGGAUUCGGGGGAUCGAAAUUUGAUAAAAGAUGAAUAAUAGUUGUUUUGAUUCAUUGUUAUUGUUAAUUGGAGUCUAAUUGUCAACUUCUCGAUAGUAUCAUAAUAGGUCAAACGGGAUAGGAAAACGGUAGGUUGGGGUAGGUAAAUUAGUACUUGGAGAACAUUGAAUGCUUGAAAUAUAUGUUGAAUGGCUUGGUUUGGUUGCUUUUGGAUCAAAUGUAUCAUUUGGCAGGGGAAUGCCCUAAGGUAUUUGUGUUUAUUCGCCGGGGAAUGCCCCAAAGUAUUUUUUAUUCGUAGGACAUUCGUGACGAAGGCUCGAGGCAUCGGGUAAAGCAUUGAAGCGUAGUUUAGGAUUAGUGUAGGUUUAUUUUCAGUACCUUUUUAUGUUGGGCUGUAAUUAUUGGACUGAACACUAUAUUUUUAGACUUGUUUUGUUGUUUGCUUGAUUGAUUAAUUUGUGUGUUUUUGUGUGGUUUAUACAUUUAUAGUUUCAAAUUAUCCGAUAUGCUCCACUAAGCGACCGUGGUAGAACCACGGGAUCGAGGGGUGCCUAACACCUUUCCUUAGGUCAACAGAACUCCUUAACCGGAAUCUCUGUUCGUAGAUCAGUUUAACAGAGUCAUAACCAUUUUGAAAAAGGAUAUCCACGGGUGACUUGGCACAUCCGAUUUAUGCCAAGUGGCGAGUCUGAGUUUUGAAUAUAAUGAAUCCUUUUCAAAACAAAUCUUCAUUUUGUAACCUAAUAAUAAAACCCUUUUCAAACUUAAAAACUCAUAAUCUUUUCGGUUAAAAAAAGGGGUGUGACAAGGGGAAAUGUCCAAAAUACCCCUACUUAAACUGCAUUAAAUUCCCGUAGGAGGGUAUGACCAUCCCUUUCAUCCUUACCUUAUUGUAUUAGUGGUACCCUUACCCGUACUGUAAGCCCACCCUGUACCCCCACACUAAUCAACAUACUACUCCAAAGUCCCACUCAUACCAAAUCAUACGAUUGGUACCCAUAAACCAUACCCUAAGAAGAAUUAAGAGGGGUUGAUACUGUCUAACAUGCGAGUUGGACUAUAUGAUUGGUACCCUAUCUCACGACUCAUGGUGUGCCACUUGUACUCAGAUCCAAGUUAAGUUACUAUGUUAUAUUAAGUGAAGAAAAACCCAACCCUACGACCCAUCACCAACCAUAUGACUCGAACCCACCCAAGUCAUACCAUUUCCAAGAACUCAACCACCCAUACUGGUCAUUAUACGACCAAGACCAACCUAGUCGUAGCCUAUCAUAUGAAAAGUACCCUAAGUCGUAUGAUGUCCAGAGGCCAAAAACUUAAGAAAUUUUCUAAGGACCAAAACCUAGGGAGUUUCUAUCUCCCCCAAUAGGAUCAUUCGUCCUCGAGUGAUGCAGAAGGAAGUAUAAGCAUGAUUUAUACCCCUUAGGUGCCUCUACUCUUUACUUUUUACAAAGAUGCAAGGAAAUCAACCUUUCAUAAAAUCAAAACUAGGAAAUAAGGAUGUCAUGAAUAGUAAUACAUUAAGCACCAAUAUUCGGAUUGGAAAACAAAUGUGGAUACUUGGACUUUAUAUCCUCUUCCUCUUCCCAAGUAGCCUCUUCCACCUUGUGGUUCCUAUAUAGAACCUUAACCAAAGCUACAUCCUUGGUCCGCAACCGAUAAACUUGCCGAUCCAAGAUCUUAAACCAAAACCUUCCAAAGGAACAACCGAUGAAGGAUCACCUACACACUUUCUCAAAUAGAGACAUGGAACACCGAAUGAAUGGAGCUCAAACUAGAAGGAAACUCUAAUUCGUACGCAAUAUUACAAACCCUUCUCAAAACCACAUAAGGACCAACAUAUCGGGGACUGAGCUUUCCUUUUUUCCCAAACCGCAUUACUCCCUUCAAGGGAGAUACCCUUAGGAAUAACCUAUCCCCAACCUCAAACUCCAAGUCUCUACGUCUCACAUCUGCAUAGGACUUUUUGCCACUUUGGGCAGCCUUAAGCCUAUCCCAAAUCACCUUAACCUUUUCCAUAGCCUGGUGAACCUAAAUUCAGACCAAACAUAUCCACGUCACCAACCUUGAACCAUCCAAUAGGAGAUUUAUACCUCCUACAAUACAAUGCUUCGAAAGGAGCCAUUCCAUACUAGAAUGGUAACUAUUAUUGUAAGCAAACCCUACAAGAGGUAGAUGCUCAACCCAAUUACCAUCAUAGUCGAUCACACACGCACAAAGCAUAUCCUCUAAUGUCUUAAUAGUCCUUUCUUUUUUUCCAUCCAUCUGUGGAUGAAAGGCACUACUUAGACUAACCUUAGUUUCCAACCUUUUCUGAAAAUACCCCCAAAAGUGAGAUAAAAACUGCGUACCACGAUUAGAGAUAAUUGAAGGAAGUAUAAGCAUGAUUUAUACCCCUUAGGUGCCUCUACUCUUUACUUUUUACAAAGAUGCAAGGAAAUCAACCUUUCAUAAAAUCAAAACUAGGAAAUAAGGAUGUCAUGAAUAGUAAUACAUUAAGCACCAAUAUUCGGAUUGGAAAACAAAUGUGGAUACUUGGACUUUAUAUCCUCUUCCUCUUCCCAAGUAGCCUCUUCCACCUUGUGGUUCCUAUAUAGAACCUUAACCAAAGCUACAUCCUUGGUCCGCAACCGAUAAACUUGCCGAUCCAAGAUCUUAAACCAAAACCUUCCAAAGGAACAACCGAUGAAGGAUCACCUACACACUUUCUCAAAUAGAGACAUGGAACACCGAAUGAAUGGAGCUCAAACUAGAAGGAAACUCUAAUUCGUACGCAAUAUUACAAACCCUUCUCAAAACCACAUAAGGACCAACAUAUCGGGGACUGAGCUUUCCUUUUUUCCCAAACCGCAUUACUCCCUUCAAGGGAGAUACCCUUAGGAAUAACCUAUCCCCAACCUCAAACUCCAAGUCUCUACGUCUCACAUCUGCAUAGGACUUUUUGCCACUUUGGGCAGCCUUAAGCCUAUCCCAAAUCACCUUAACCUUUUCCAUAGCCUGGUGAACCUAAAUUCAGACCAAACAUAUCCACGUCACCAACCUUGAACCAUCCAAUAGGAGAUUUAUACCUCCUACAAUACAAUGCUUCGAAAGGAGCCAUUCCAUACUAGAAUGGUAACUAUUAUUGUAAGCAAACCCUACAAGAGGUAGAUGCUCAACCCAAUUACCAUCAUAGUCGAUCACACACGCACAAAGCAUAUCCUCUAAUGUCUUAAUAGUCCUUUCUUUUUUUCCAUCCAUCUGUGGAUGAAAGGCACUACUUAGACUAACCUUAGUUUCCAACCUUUUCUGAAAAUACCCCCAAAAGUGAGAUAAAAACUGCGUACCACGAUUAGAGAUAAUUGAAAUAGGUACCCCAUGCAGCUUCACAAUAUCAAAAAGAUACAACCUCGCAUAAUCUUCAGUCGAAAAGUUAGUCCUCACUGGCAAGAAGUGAGAUGAAUUUGUCAUCCUAUCCACGAUGACCCAAAUUGAAUUAAAUUGAUUUCGAGACCGAGAAAGACCAGUAAUGAAAUCCAUAUCGACCACUUCCCACUUCUAUUCUGGCAGUUUAAUUUCUUGAUAUAACCCUUCGGGCCUCACGUGCUCAACUUUUACUUGUUGGCAUACCAUACACUUGGCUACAAAGUUAGCCACAUCCCUCUUCAUACCAUUCCAAUAAUACAUCUCCUUGAGAUCAUGAUAUAUUUUCGUCGAAUCAGUGUGAAUAAUAUAGCGCAAUUCAUACGCCUCGGCCAAUAUCCUUUCAUUAAAACUAUCGACAUGGGGAACACAUAACCUCCCUUGGUACAUCAAGGUACCAUCACUACUAACCUCAAAUAUCAUCACCUUUUACCCACCUACAUCACCCUUAAUUUUUAUCAAGAUAAGAUCCAAUAUUUGCUUCUCUUGAUCUCUGCACCAAGAGACUAUCACACCACUUCUUAUACCACCACUCUACUAUCCUCAAAGUCUGGAAGACGAACCUCAAGAUUAGCCAAGCGAUGAAUAUCCUUCACCAAAUCCCGCUUCUACUUUUCCACAUAAGCUAAACUCCCCAUGGACAACCUGCUAAGAGCACUAACAACCACGUUACCUUUACCUGGGUGGUUGUGAAGACUUAUAUUAUAAUCCUUGAGAAGCUCAAGCCAUUUCCUCUACCUGAGAUUAAGCUCCUUCUGCAUGAACUCUUAUGAUUCAAGAAGAUAUCCGCAUGUACUUUAUACAAAUAGUCCCACCAAAUUUUUAAUGUAAGCACCACUGCUAAAUGCUCCAAGUCAUGAGUAGGAUAAUUUCUCUUAAGCACCUUUAAAUGCCUGGAAGCAUAGGCUAUCAUAUUCCCAUGUUGCAUUAAAACACAAACAAGUCCCAACCAGGGCACAUCAUAAUAAACCACAAACCCUUCAUUGCCUUUUGGCAAAGUCAAAACCGGAGGCGAAGUUAGCUUAUCCUCAGCUUCUUGAAACUACCCUCACAAGCAUCCGACAAGAGAACUUCACCUUCUUCUGAGUCAACUUAGUCAAUGGGGCAGCUAUCAAAAAAAAACUUUCCACAAGCCUCCUAUAAUACCCAUCCAAACUUAAGAAGCUCAGAAUGUCAAUUAGAGUCUUGGGUCUAGGUUACUUCUUAACCACCAUAAUCUUUUAUAAAUCCACCAUGAUUCCCUCACUAGAGAUAAUAUGACUUAGAAAAGUGACAGUGUUUAAGCAAAACUUAUAUUUUGAGAACUUGGCAUACAAUUGCUGUUCCUUUAAGGUCUGCCAUAUAAUACAGAGUUGAUUACCAUAAUCCACCUCACUCUUAGAAUAUACCUAGAUGUCAUCCAUGAACACAAAGACAAACAAAUAUAAAAAUUAAUGGAAAACCCUAUUUAUCAAAUCCAUAAAUACUGCCAGAGCGUUAGUCAACCCAAAUGACAUCACUAAGAACUCAAAGUACCCAUAUCGAGUACAGAAAGUAGUCUUAGAGUUAUCCACCUACCUAAUCUUAAGCUGAUGAUACUCAGACCGAAGAACUAUCUUAGAAAAAACUUGGCACCUUACAACUGAUCAAACAGAUCAUCUAUCUUCGAAAGAGGAUACUUGUUCUUAACCAUCACCUUAUUCAACUGCCUAUAGUCAAUGCACAUUCGAAGGGAACUAUCCUUCUUAAGCACGAAUAAGACCGAUGAACCCCACAGGGAUACACUAGGACAGAUAAAACCAUUAUCUAGAAGAUCCUUCAGAUACUUCUUGAGUUUUUUUAACUUAGCUGGAGCUAUCCUAUAUGGAGAAAUAGAAAUUGGAUGAGUGUUUGGAACCAAGUCAAUACCAAAAUCAAUCUCACUAUUCGGAGAAACACAAGGAAGACCAUCCGGAAAGACAUUCGGAAACUCAUUUACCAUCUAAACUGAAUGCAAGGAAGGACCUUUUGAGUUAGAAUCUUUAACCCGAACCAAAUGAUAGUGACACCCUUUAGAGAUCAGUCUCCGAGCUCUAAGAUAUGAUAUAAACUUCCCCUUAGGAUCUAAGAAAUUAGCCCUCAUUCAAUAACUAGUCACUAGGUAACUUAAAGACAACCCUACCGAUUCGACAAUCUAAAGAUGCGCUGCAUAAAUGUAACUAAUCCAUACCCAGAAUAACAUCAAAAUCCACCAUAUCUAAUUUAUACAAAUCCACCGAAGUCUCUUUACUACCAACAGAUACCACACCCCCUAUAGACUCUUUUAGCAACCACAAAAUAACCUACCAGGAUAGAAACAAAAAAAGGACCCAAAAUAACCUUGGGAUCAUAACCAAAAUAAACAACCACAUAUGGGAUCACAUAAGAAAGAGUGGACCCCAAAUCAAGCAAGCAAUACAAGUCACAAGAAAAGAGUUAUAAUGUACCAGUCAAACAUCAGGCAAUGCCUCAUACUCCUAUUGGAUAGUGAGUACAUAUAACAAAUUAUGACCAGUGUCAAUACCAAAAGUAAAAACAAAUCCAGAAGAAGAUCCCUUCGGUGCAAGAGUAGAUGAAGAAGCAAUCAAAACCUUAUUUGCUCUCAAAGAAACCUUACUAAUGGGUAGUUUCUGAGCAUAUAUCCUGGAUGACCAUAUUUGAAGCACCUUUCCCUCCUCUUAUCAUAGAAACCUUGAUGAAAUCAACCAUAGAUUCUAUAAGGAGGACAUAAUAAAGUCGACUGUGCCGCACUUACCUGAGAUUGGGUACCCUGUGCCCUAAAGUUGUUACUGCCCUACUAAUGUUUGUCACCCGAAGGCUUUGGAUAAGGAGCACUGGCUGUGGAGAAAGAACCAGAACUCCUCCACUUCUUCUUGGGAUACUUAACACCAUCCCUACCACUUUGCUAUUGGUUACCACCUUGAUCAGAGAACCUGAACUUUUUACUUUGCCUUUCUCCUAUCUAAGCCUGCUUUCUCUUUUCCUCAUCCACCUAUUGCAUAUGAACAACCAACAUAGAGAUAUUUAUGUCCUUGAUCAGCAAUGCAGUCUUACUUUCCAUGAUCAAAUCAUGAGAUAGUCCUGAGGCAAAUUUUCUCAUCUUGGCCCUUAUAUCAGUCACCAUUUAUGGAGCAUACCUAGAAAUCUGGUGAAACUUUAAGGCAUACUCCUUGACCGUUAUCUUCCCAUGUUUCAAAUUAACAAAAUCCUCCGCUUUCUCUUCUCUCAACUCUAGAGAAAAGAAGUGGUCUAGAAAUGCAUUAGAUAAAGUCUCCCAAAGAUGACUCCUCAAAAUUACCCUUUACCCUAUCCCAUUGCUCGUACCAUUGGUACGCUACAUCCUUGAGCUGAUAAGAUACAAAAUCCAUCCCUUCCAUAUUGGUGACAUGCAUAAUCUUGAAUAUAUUUUUCAUCUCAUCCUGAAAUCCCUGAGGAAUCUCCUCUACCUUAACACCGAUAAAGGUUGGAGGACUCAUCUCAAUAAACUGGCUAACCUAUGUGGCCUCAGAGAAUAGAAUAGUAGAUGCACCCCACUCAUCCUCAGAAGAUACCAAUUGAGCAAUCAUAUAAAUUGACUGAAGAAACUCUACAUUUAUCACGUCACCCUAAGGAGGAUUGGAAGAAAUUGGUGGAACACUAGAAUAAUUAGGGACUGAACCCCUAGAUCGAGUUUAGAUUCCUUGAGUUGAAUAUGUCCUAUCAACAUUGUCUCCAGUUGGGAUAGAGGAGUUUUUGUGAGCUUUAGAUCGUUGAGGCAUGAUCUAAAAAGCUAACAAACAAGACUUAGAAAGAAUUUUAGGACUGAGACUCCAAGCUUGAAAAUUAGAACACAAGAAAAAAAAACAUUCCUAAAUGCCUUAUAGCCCCUCUUUUAUGAGUGUGGCGUAUUACACACCCUUAAAAGAGACUCUACUAGAUACAACUUUGUGGACUCCCCAGUUGACCAUAAACCUAACGCUUUGAUCCCAACUUGACAUAACUCAAACUAAGGCCUCAUCUUAAUGAACAUCUCAAGUCUAACCAAGAUUGGAGACCACCCCCGAUACCCAACCCAACCAACUAAAAUAUACCAUGAGUUGGAUGAAUUCCAAACAUAUAACAAGAUAGCGUAUUCGUACCAAUCCAGACUUUAAGAUAAGUCCACAACCGUGACCAAACUAAGUAAGUCCAACCAUCUUAUACCAACCAACAACCAUAACCAAAAUGAUAUAAUAACUAAGUUUUUGUCCAUAACAUGACAUAAAAUGAUGGAACAAUCAUAAAUACAGUAAAGUAGUAUCAGCCCCAAUACUAAUGCCGAUACCAAGGUUGACAACCCUAUCAGUACCGCCUAUUCUAAUCCAUAGUAGUUCCAUAAAUCCUUUAAAUAAAAGAAAAACAAUAUCCAUUUGGGACAUGCCCCAACCAUAACAAAAACCAAUAUCCAUAAAAUAACCAAAGUAUUUAAAGACAUCCAUGAUAUAAAAUAGAGCCUUCCAAAGUAUGGAAGAUCACCACUUCAAUCUAAUAACUGAUCCUGAAUCCAAUUACUAAGUAGGAGUAGAAUGGUCGAUUCCUGCAUCACGUAGGGAUACAGCCACCCAAAGAUGGGUUAGCGGGUUAAUGCUAGGAAAUACUCAGGAUAAGGAUAAAAUAAUGUCAACCUUUAUAAUCAAGUAAACAACCACAUGCAUUCACAACCAUACAUAUAUAUAUCUAUGUCGGGAAAAAGAACCGGGUUUAGCAUGCCUUUAAAACUAUUAACCUGGGUAUGUGUAGCUUAACUAUCCUAGAAAUACCUACCGGCUAUAUGGGUCCAGAGUAACCCUCUAAAUAGGCCCCGAUGCGUUUUUCCAGAUGAAUCAGAGAUACCAUAGGAGCAAGGGAUUCCAAAGUACCCUUGUCUCUCCAUGAUAAAUUUAGACAAGAGUAACUUAGGGGAUUCCAGCUUACCCCAUAUGGUCAUAAUAAUCAAUCCUCAAGUUGGCAAUCAUGAGUUUCCAGUGUCCAUCCAUUGGACUCACUCCUUCAUGGUUAGAUAUCAUACCCCACCAUUAUUUCUAAAUUAAAACCAUUUUCACACAACCAAACCACUAUUCCAUUUAUAUUAACCAAGGCUAUAAGUAGUGGUAUCAUCAUACCAACUAUAGCUUGUAAGCAAUAUCCUUAGCUAACCUUUUAGAUAAGAAGGGAUUCCUAUGUACCCAUAGAGUACACUAUUUAUUUACUUGGACGAUUCCUAUGUACCCGAUAAGUAUGUUCAUUACUUAAUUUUCUUAGAGGAUUCCCUUGUACCCCACAAGGCUUUUAAUUAAACCAACCAUGACCACUAAGACCUUAGCAUUUAACAAUUACAAACCAUUUAUACCAUUUAGGGUUCCAUUACCAAGUUGUACCAUGCGAUAGUUUUAUUAAAGUCCAUCAAUAUAGUAAAAGCAUUCUCAUAGGCGUUUUAUCAAACAUGUUGAGCGAAUAGUAUUUUCAAAGCCAAAACCAAGUACAAAUUAACCAUUCCCAUGAAACCAAGUGUUCAACCAUCAUUAUAAUAUGCAAACAAUAAGUAAAAGACAUGGAAAAACCAUUAUCAACCAUUAUAUCCAAAACCCCUAACAUAUAUUUGAAAACCAAAAAGAAUACAACAAUUAUACUAUGAAAAAAAUUCAUAAAACAUGCCUUUAGUUGGAAUUAAAAAUGAGGGAGGAGUAUCACACCAUAGAUUGAAGAGAAGAUGAGAAGAAAUCACCCCUACGAGCCUCAAUUGACCACCUUAAAUAAAACCCUAGCUUUUGCUUAAUCUAAGAGCCUUGAGAUAUUUUGAGAGUCUUUAAGAGUGUUUGAGUGAUUGAAUAGAGGUUAAUGAAGCCUCAAAAAUGUUUUUUAAGUCAUGGGGUACCAAGGAUUUAUAAGGGGAAAUGUCCAAGAUACCCCCACUUAAACUGCAUAAAAUUCCCAAGGAAGGGUACGACCAUCCCCUACAUAUACUUAGGGUAAAAGUGGUACCUUUACUCGUACCUAAGACUCACCCUAUACCCCCAUACUAAUCAGCAUACAACUCCAAACUCCCACUCAUAUAAAAUCAUACAAUUGGCACCUAUAAAUCGUACCUUAAGCAGAAUUAAGAGGGGUUGAUACCGUUCAACGUAUGAGUUGGACUAUAUGACUCGUACCCUAUAUCAUAACUCAUGGUGAGACACUUGUACUUAGAUCCAAGUUAAGUUACUAAGUUUUAGAUUAAGUAAAGGAAAACCCAACCCUACGACCCGUCACCAACCAUAUGACUCGUGCCCACCCAAGUCGUACCCAUUGUAAAAACUCAACCACCCAUACUAGUCACCAUACGACCAUGACCAACCUAGUCUUACCCUAUCAUACGAGAAGUACCCCAAGUCAUAUGAUGUCCAGAAGCCAAAAACCAAGAAAAUUUAAAAAAGGACUAAAACCCAGGGUGUCUUACGACAUAUAUCAAGGUGCCUUAAGCACCAAUAUAUACAACAUAGGGUACUCAAACCUCCUAUUCAUAUAUUUGAUAUGGAGGACUCAAACCUCUCGGUCAUUUAGACACCAACACCGGCUAGCACGAUUUUCUAUGUUAGUAUUUAGAGACCUUUACUUUUACGACCCAGCUACACAUCCCGCUCUUAAGCCCAAUUUAAAAUAUUUAACAUGCAUCAACAUUUAUUAAACCUAUUAUACAUAUAGGAACCCCAUUGGUAUCAUCAUACGAACCCCACUUUCAAUCGUAUAAUAUGCUUUAACAUUGAUCUCAUUAAUUUGGGACUCGAACCUAUUGUACAAAUAAGAAUAUAAAAUUAAUUCAACAUUUGGGGAUCAAACCAAUUUAGUAAAUCAAACCCCAAGGUUUAAAAUUUAUAUCAAUUUAUGACCAUCAAGGCCUUCAUAAAGCCAUUCAUUAUUCACUCACUAGUUUAAUCCAAUGUAUUAGUUCAACAUGUAAUUCAAACUUAUGACACAGUUAUUAUCAAUUAAAAUUUCACAAAUAGGUUGAGAACAAACCAUUAUCAAAGCCAAAAUCAAGGAAAAAUCAUUAAUUUAGGGUUAACCAUGAUCCCUUAGUAAAUGUAACACCCUAAAUUUUUGGGAUAGACUUUGAACCAUCGUUCCUACGUGUAUAAACUCAAAUCCUAUGAUUUAUAUUUGAAUAUAUGUGUCAUGAUCUUUAUCCGAGUAUGUGAAGUGCUUAUGAGGUGAAAAAUAUUCAUAGGAAUUACUUAGAAAAAAGUUGAGCUAAGAGCCUUUGAUUCGGUUAAAUUUUUGUAUUUGAUUCAACAAGGGUCAACUUUAAACAUGUAUAACUUUUUAUAUAUGUGGAAUUAUUUACAUAAAGGCCCACCAAAUGGUAUAUAACUAAAUUAGAUUUUCAACGAUACUAAUUUUGCCUUAAUUCGAUUUCUAAGCAAAAAGUUAUGAUUAAUUUUGUGAGAAACCAUAAUCCUCUAUAAUAAGAUCGUGCUGCAUUGGUAUCUCUACCAAAAUAAGGUUCUUGGAGCAUUAGUCUUUCCCUCGGUAUAAGGGACACGGCGUGGAGGUUAUUCCCUUACUAUUUCAGCAUUCUAAGGGCCAAGGGGUAAUUUGGUCCUUUCCCCUCAACCCCAAGCACCCAAAACAUGAUUUAUAACACCAAAAGGGCAUUAUUUUCCCAUCAUCCUCAAAACAACUCACGUAAAAACCGUUCCCUUUCCCAAUAACAAUAAUCCAAGCUUCUUAUCUCAAGAACACAAGGAUUCAAGCUUCAGUUUUUAGAUUUAUUCAACAAUACAUUCAAAUAAGGUAUGUGGGGUAUUCAUCAAUGGGUUUAUUUAACCCAUAUAGGCCAAAAAACCCUCUAUUGGUUAAAGUAUGAAUUUAUUCAUGUUCAAGAUGAAUUUAACCCAUGCUUUUAUUUGUAAUUUGAAUUCAAUCCACGUCCACAUGUGUUCUCAUGGAAAUUAAGCUAUUUUAUAUUCUAAAAUUUGAAGAAUGCAUAUUAUACUCAAUUGAUUUCAUGUUAACUAUCAAAUUCAUAUAGUAAUCCAUGUGAAUAUGUUAUUUUCUAAGGUUUAACUCAUCCCCAUUUAAGUUCAUGUAUUUCACUUAAUUAUUGAAAUGCCUUAUGUUUUGGGUCUUUGAAUUAUGAUUUUAUAUUACUAUUUUAAAUGUUGUUAUCAUAUUUUGUGAUCAUUAAGUGCUGGAGGGUUAUGAACACCUGAUACCUAUAUAGUUUUUGUAUGUUUCUAUUUUCAAGUCACAAGUGAGUCAGACCAUGUUUUUAUUACUAUAUUCAGACUACCAUGUUCAUGUUGAGCACUUAUUAGUAUAGUACCAUGUAAUUUUAGACCCAUAAUAAUACCACUGUUAUUCAGUUGGAAGUAGGAUUUAGCAUCGAGCAAAUCGAGAGAUGGGGCUCACCCGCCAGUUUAGACUAGGUCCUUAGUAGUAGUCCCUAAGUUGUAGAACUAUAUAAUCAGUGUAGGAUUAUAAGAAGUCACCCUCCAUUUUAGGAAUGACACUUUCUUAGAGGUCACCCACCAGUUUAGGGUUGACUCUCUAUCCUUCGGGACUCAUGAUUAGUGGAUCGACACAACUAUGUGUUAGUACCCAUGACAACGUACUGACACCCUUCCCACUGGGUUAUAGGUUGAACCUUGAUUAGCUCAGAAUAGGGCAUGUUGGUUGCAUGAUAGCUUCACAGUUUCAGUCAGUAUUUAGUUUAUCUCAGUUCAGGUUUUUUUGACCAAGUAAUCAGAUUUCAAUAAUUAUUCAGUCAGUUUUACAGAUUAUUCAUGUUAUUAAGAUCAUGUUAGUACAUGCUAUACUUGGUAUUGCAUUCUCAGUUUUACAUGUUCUUGUUUUUAUGUUCAGUAUCCAUACAUGAUCCUUAAUUCAGUUUUACAUCACGUUCAGCUUUACAUGAGAUUUACAUACAAUAUUUAUGUUCUACCGCUUUCCAACUUCAGUUUUACUUGUCCUACAAAAGCAAAGAUUUAAGAAACUAAGUGUAGCGAUUCACCAACUUAUCAGAUUAUGUUUGUUACUCAUAUUUUAAGAUACUUUAGUUUUGAAUUGAUUUUAGUCUCUUGGUGAGUCUACUUGCACUUGGCAUGCAUAUUUUAAGAUUAUGUAUCUAUUCAGUUUUACUUAUUUCAUUCAACCCCACUUACUCAAUACAUUCUAGAAUUACUGAUCCACAUAUACGUCUAUGUGCUACAUUGUCUCAUAAUAUUGGUACCAGUUAUAGCCACCCAUUAUUAUCAGAAAGUUCGCAGCUUCCAACCAGCAAGUGAUGAGUUCUCUUAUUUCAAAGAAUCCAGUAAGUUAUAAUUUACGUACUUUAUUUUGAUUAUUCAUAUGUUUUGAUUAGUGAUAGUUGUAGGUAUAUCCCAACUAUCUAUAGUCAGCAUAGUAGAGGCUUCAUAGCUAGUCAGCAAGAGUCAUUCAUAUAAUUCAAGUUCUUUCUUUAGUUUUAUCAUGAUGUAAACUUUAUUAGUAUUAUACUUAUUUAAAUUUACUUAAGAUCUAGUUUUUGCUGAAAAAUUUAGUUUGAUUCAAUUAGCUUGAAAUCACUUGUGGUUCCAAGCACCGUGUUACGACUAGGGGUAGUCUCGAGUCAUUAAAAAACUUGAUAUCAGAGCUCAUAUUUCAAGUGUCCUAGGGUGUCUAUGAAUCCAUGUCUAGUAGAGUCUUGCGAAAUGGGACAGAGAUAUCUAUACUUUUCUUUGAGAGGCUACAUGGAAUUUAAGAAAUAUUUCCCUUUAUUCAUGUCUCAGAUCGUGCUAUAGAAAGGUUCUCUAUGAAACUUAUAUAGAUUCUCAUCUUACUCCAUUUAUACCAGUUCUACCUUGUUUUCAAGGUAAUAGAAACAACCAAGAUCAAAUUCCUAUAGAUAGAGCUUUCUUAGAAAGUCCCCGCAGACAGUUACGAGAUCACACGCAGGCUCAAAUGUAUCCCGCCAGUGCCUUUAUGUUCCAAAGUAUGAUAGAUUUCAUUCUUGUUCAUGAAAAUUAGGCAUUGAGAAAAAUUCAUAUAUGCCCUUAUAUCCCUCCUUAAAAUCCUAUUAUAGAAUAUAAUUUAAUGUUAGAAGCACGAAAUCAGAAGUUUUAACAAUAGUAAAGUGGGGAUAGUAUUUAUCUAAAUUUAGCAGAUUAUGUAUCCAUAGGGCUAGUUGUAUGAAAGGUAAACCAGUAGGCCCGAUAUAGUGCAUACAAGAAUUUAAGUAUGUUGAUUAGAAAUUAUAUAUUAUUGAUGUAGGGUAUGUUGGUGUAAUGGUAAUUCACAUAGUUUAGGAAAAAAGUAAGUUUAGAGAUGAGAUAUUAGUAGGCUAUGAAGGAAAAAAUGAAGAUUAUGUGUUAAGUGGGGCAAGUAUAUUGUCGAGAAGAAUGUAAACAUGUAAUGAUGAUUGCUGAAGUGAAAGAAAGAUAAGGAUAGUAUGUAUUAAGGGAGUUUUCAAGAACGAAGUUAGUAUAGUUUGUUAAAAGUUUAGGGAUAUCCAUGUUAAUUGUUACGAUCAAAGUUUGAAUCUUAGAUGAUUGAUCUAAUAGAAAUAAGAUUUGAAAUUCUUGAUGGUGUGAACUCAGGGUAUGGUGAUACUCAUGAAGAUUCUAAGUUAGUGAGUGUUCAAGUUAUUAUAUGAUGAUUGUCGAGGCUAUAGAAAGUUAUGAGUAUUAGCAGUAGGUCUUACACUUUUAGGUGUAGUCCUUCAGGGUGAGUUUAUUACUUAUGUGUAUUGUUAUAUCUCAAGCUCUAGAGUAGAGUGGUUGCAGUCCAGUUUAGAGUUUAUUAAAGGGAUCCACAAACUUAGAAUUAUAGCUCAAAGCUAAGGGGGAAACGAUAGAAUAAGGAACCAAGUUAGGCUCUCAGAUUCUAAUAGUGAUGCCAGUAUAUUGUUAAACAAUAGUAAGAGAAGAUAGUACCCGAUCCAUUCUUAUCUUAGUGAGAAUUUUUGUACUUCAUUCAUUAUGACGUAUAAUUAUGCCUUACUCAUCAUAGCCAUGAUCAUAGUUCAUGUUCAUGCAUAUCAUGGAGAAUUAUGUACGCUUCCAGUUCCUAGUAUGAGGAGUUCCAGUUCACUAGCAGUAUAGAUCAUAUUCCCUAAAAUCAUGAACUCCAAACUCAGGUCAUGCAGCUCAUGGCUCAUGUACUCAUGCUUUACAGUAUGUUCAGUUCCAGGUACUCAUGCUACUCUCUUAAUGAUCAGUAAAAUUCAAAUUAUGUUAUGUAUGUCCUCAGUUUUGAUCUUUGUAAUCAGUUCAUGUCACUAAUACUCUAUUCCUCAUGCUCAGUUAAGUGUCAAAGUUAUGUAUAGUAUUCUUUAGUGCUUCAGGUCCUUAUGUUCUAACUUUUCAGUGACCUCUCUUUAUAAAAUAAUAGUGGUGAUGAACAAUUGUUUAGAUGAUAGAAAGUAAAUGUUUCAUGUUCAGGAAAGAUUGUUAUAUGUUUGUUUUAUCUAAGGCUAUAAGUGUGAAGUAAGAUUGAGGCAAAGAUUUUGGUAUAUGUCAUAGUUAGUUGAGAAUUCCAUGUAUGUCUUCUUAAGAAUAGUGCAAGAAGGUUAUUAUUGAUAGUGGUUUAGAGAAUAUGAGAAAGAUGAUUUUAUGGGUUGUAUGCCUAGAAGUUCAUAUAGGUUAUAAUGAUAGGCUUGAACGACAUGUUAGUGUAUAAGUGGAUGGGUGCAUUGUGCGCUAGUGAAUUAUGGUACGAGGUUGAACUUAGUUGUUGAAGCAGUAAGAAAAAUUAUUCUUAAGAUGAGAGUUGUAAAACAUGCAGGUGGUAUCAAAUUCAUGGUUUAGAAUAGUAUUAUAGUUUUAUGUGUGCACUUUGUAAUUUUGAGUGGGCUUGAACAUAGUGAGAGAAUUCAGUUUAGCUCAGACUUUAGAAGAUAGAGUUAUCAAUGCCCAUGUGAAGAUUAUAAGUAUCCUUAAGUGAAAUGCAGUAUUUAAGGGGAAUGUUUAGUUGAGGGGGUAUUUGAUAAGUAUGCCUAAGAUUAAAAGUAGGAGUUGUGUUGCUUAAGGCCUAGUAAUUCUAUCCUAGGUUAUGAUUUAUAGGCCUAUAUUCUAUGUUAUAAAGUUGUAGCCAUGUUGUGAGUCCUUAUUUAGAUAUCUCACUCAGAUCAUGCCCAAGAUUCUUUGAUCCCUAAUGUUAUUAGAACGUGUUAGAAAGAGUGUUGAAGAAAUACUCCAGUUGAGUAUGAGCUUUUAGUAUGAUUCAGUUGGUAUAGCCAACAAUUCAAUUUAGCAAUUAGACAAAUAAGCUCCUAUAGAUUUCUUUCUUUCCAUCUAGUCUUACUAUCCAAAGUUUCAUGAGUAUGGCUAUUACAUGAGGUAAUUUAUUCAUGCCCAUCCAACUUGUGAAUUCAGUUCGCUUCAUGCAUUAUGUCUACGAUUCAACUAUUUAGUCAUGAUUCAGUUCAUAAGUGUUUAGUGCAUGAUCUCAGUUUUCCAAGUAUUCUAGCUCAGCCAUUAUAAUACCCCUUGUACGACCUUAGUAUCAUUAUCUCAUGAUUCAUGAUUUCAUAAUGUACUUGGCUAUGCCAUGAAGCCCUUUUCUUUUGAUCCCUAUAUGUGUUUUGUUAAGGAACAAUUCCUAAUAAGAAGUUGCGUACUUUAUUCCAUCCUUAGUAACUCUUGGAAUUUUAUUGCAUCAGUUAUAACUCCACCAUUCUAUAUGUAUGAUUGUAUCAUGAAUAUUUUAAGUGACUUCUAAACUCUCAGCAUGAAUCAGCUCUUUAUAGUCAAUAUAGUCAAGUCAGCUCAGAAACUAGUUUCAUGGUAAAAGUUCUAAUGUUUCAGCACAAUGAUAUCCUUCAUCACCAAACAUGUCAUGUGUACAUUAUUCCACACUUAUAAGGUUUUAACAAGUUCCUAUCCAUCGUUCGAGGAUGAAUGAUUCCAAGGGGGAGAUAAUGUAACACCCCGCAUUUUUGGGCUAUACUUUAAACCAUUGUUCCCACAUGUAUAAACUCAAAUCCCAUGAUUUAUUAUUUAAUAAAGGAAUCAUGAUCUUUAUACUAGUGUGUGAAGUUCUUAUUAGGUGAAAAAUGUUCAUAGGAAUCACUUAGAGCAAAGUUGAGCUAAGAGCCUUUGAUUUUGCCAAAUUUUUGUAUUCAAUUCUACAAGGGUCAACUUUGAACGUGUAUAACUUUUUAUAUAUAUGGAAUUUUUUAGAUCAAUACCCACCAAAUGACAGAUAAUUGAAUUAGCUUUCCAACUAUACCAAUUUCUCCUUAAUUCAAUACCCGAUCAAAAAUUUAUGACCGUUUUCAUGAGAAAUAAUAAGCCUUCGUGAUAAGCCCAUGGCGCGUUGGUCUCUCCCCCGAAAUAAGGUGUGGGGUACUUUGGUGUCUCCCCCAGAAUAAGGGAAAUUAUGCAGAGGUUAUUCCCCCACUCUUUCACCUUCCUAAGGGCUAAGGGGUUAUUUGGUCCUUUUCCCUCAACCCCAAUCGUCCAAAACACGAUUUAUAACACCAAAAAGGGAAUUAUUUGCCCAUCAUCCUAAAAAAACUCACGUAAACCCCCCUUUCCCAAGAACAUUAAUCCAAGUUUCUUAUGUCAAGAAAAUAAGGAUUCAAGAUUCAAUUCAAUAUUCUUCAAGUAUCCGUUCAAUUAAGGUAUGCGGGGUGUUCAUCACCCUCUUUUAGUUAAAGUAUGAAUUUAUACAUGUUCAAGAUGAAUUUAAACCAUGAUUUUAUUUGUAAUUUGAAUUCAAGCCAUUUCCAUCUGUGUUCCCAUAGAGAUUAAUCUAUUUCGUGUUCUAAACUUUUAAGAAUCCAUGUUAUACUCAAUCAAUUUCAUGCUAACUAUCAAAUUCAUGCAGUAAUCUAUUUGACUAUGUUGUUUUAUCAGGUUUAACUCAUCCUCAUUUUCAAGUUUAUGUAUUUCACUCAAUUAUUGAAAUUCCUUAUAUUUUGGGUCUUUGAACUAUGAUUUUAUAUCAUUGUUUUAAACGUUGUUAUCAUAUUUUGUGAUCAUUCAGUGCUGGAGGGUUAUGAACACCCGAUACGUAUGUGGUUUUUACAUGUUUCUAUUUUCAAGUUACAAGUCAGGUAGACCAUGUUUUUAUUACUAUAUUCAGAAUACCAUGUUCUUUUUAGAACUUAUCAGUACAGUACCAUGUCAUGUUAGACCCAUAAUAAUACCAGUGUCAUUCAGUUGGGAGUAGAUUUAAGAUCGAAUGAACCUAGGGAUGUGGGCUUACUCUCCAAUUAGGAAUGGAUCCUUAGUAGCAGUCCAUAAGUUCCAGAACUACAUAGCCAAUGUAGGAUUAUAAGAUGUCAACCGCUAGUUUAGGAUUGACACUCUCUUAGGGUCACCCGCCAUUUUAGGACUGACUUCCUAGUCCUUUAGGACUCGCGAUUAGUGGAUCCACACAAUCAUAUGUUAGUACCCAUGGCAAAGUACUGACACCCUUCCAACUGGAGUUAUAGGUUGGACCCUGAUUAGCUCAAAUUGGGGUAUGCUAGUUACAUGAUAGCUCCUACAAUUUUAGUCAGUAUUAAAUUUAUCUCAAUUCAGGUUUCCUUGACCAAGUAAUUUGAUUUCAACAAUUAUUCUAUCAAUUUUAUAGAUUAUUCAUGUUAUUCUGAUUAUGUCAGUACAGGAUAUACCUGGUCUUGCAUUCUCAAUUUUAAAUGUUCAUGUUUUCUUGCUCAGUAUCCAUACACGAUCCUCAGUUCAGUUUUAUAACACGUUAAGCUUUACAUGAGAUUUACAUACAAUAUUUAUGUUCAAUGCAAACACCAAAGCUAAAAAUUCCAAAUCAUGAGUGAGAUAAUUCCUCUCAUGCACCAUUAACUGUCGGGAAGCAUAAGCUAUCACCUUCCUAUGCUACAUCAAAACACUACCAAGUACCACAGGAGACGCAUCACAGUAGACCACAAACCCAUCAAUGCCUCAGGCAAAGUCAAAAUUGGAGCCGAAGUUAGCUUAUCCUUUAGCUUUUUAAAACUGCACUCAUACGUAUCCAACUAUAAGAACUUUACUUUCUUUUGAGUUAACUUAGUCAAAGAGGUAUCUAUAUUCAAAAAACUCUCUACAAACCUUGUAUAGUAGCCAUCUAAACCUAAGAAGCUCUAAAUAUCAGUCAGAGUCAUGGGCCUAGGCAACUUAUUCACCACUACAACCUUCUGUAGAUACACCAUGAUCCCUUCACUUGAAUAAUAUAACCUAGAAAAGUGACAGUGUUAACUAGAACUCAUAUUUCGAGAACUUGGCAUAUAAAUGCUACUCAUCGCUCUUAGAAUACUCCAAGAUGUCAUCAAUAAAGACAAUGACCAACAUGUCUAAAAACUGACAAAAGACCUUAUUCAUUAAAUCCAUGAGUGUUGCUGGGACAUUGGUCAACUCGAAUGACAUUAUAAGAAAAUCAAAGUGCCCAUACUGGGUACGAAAGGCAGUCUUAGGGAUAUGCACCUUCUUAAUCUUAAGCUAAUGAUAUCUGGACCGAAGAUCAAUUUUAGAGAAAAAUUAGCACCUUGAAACUGAUCAAACAAAUUAUCUAUCUUGGAAGAGGAUACUUGUUCUUAAAUGUCACCUUAUUCAAUUACCCUAAUCAAUGCACAUCCAAAGAAAACCAUCCUUCUUACGCAUGAAAAACACUGGUGCACCCCAAGGGGACAUACUAGGAUGGAUGAAAACCUUAUCUAAGAGAUCCUUGAGUUGCUCUUUAAGCUUCUUCAACUCAACUGGAGCCAUUCUCUAUGGGAAAAUAGAAAUUAGAUGAGUGUACGAAACAAGAUCAAUACCAAAAUCAAUCUCCCUAUCAGGAGGAACAUCGGUUAGUUCAUCAGGGAAGGCCUCGAGAAAUAAGAAAUUUUGACCAGUGUUGGAAUGAGAUGGUGCAACCUUUGAUGCUGGAGUUGAUGAUGAAGUGACUGGAACCUUUUUCACUCUCAAAGAAACCUUGGACACUAAAAAGUUCUUAAUCAUGUGCCCUGGAUGACCACAGAUGAAGCACCUAUCCUUUACUUCCUUACAAUUACCCCAAUGCAAUCUACCACAAAACCUGUAGGGAGAAUAUGAUUGAGAUGAUUGAGCCCCACUAGCUUGAGAUUGGGAACCUAGUUUUCCAAAGUUUUUGCCACCUUGAAAAUGCCUAUCACUUGAUGGCUUAGGGUAGGGAUCACUAGCUGUUGAGUAGGAAUCAGAAUUGCCCUACUUUUUCUUGGACCACUUCUCACCAUCCCUUCUACUCUGUUGUUGGCCACCAUCCUUCUCUAUACAGUGAACCUAAGCAUCUCACCCUGCCUUUCCCUAUCUCAUCCUGCUUCUUCGUGUCUUCCUCCACCUGCUGUAUGUAUACAACCAACCUAGAGAUAACCAUGUCCUUGAUCAACAAGGUUGCCUUACUAUCCUAUAUCAAACUCUAGAUAACCAAGAAGAAAACUUCCUCAUUCUAUCUUGGAUAUUAGAAACCAUCUCCUACACAUGCCGAGAUAACUAGUGAAACUUCAAGGUAUACUAUGAUACCCCAAACUUUCUUUAAGUCAAAUCUAGUCUCCAGAAAUGACUAAUGUUUAAAUUAGAUAUUCCUUAAUUUUGACUUUUUAACAUGUGGGAAAUUGAAUUAUCUUUCCAACGAUACCAAUUUUUUCCAAAUCUGGUAUUGGAGUAAAAAGUUAUGGACAUUUUACAGAGAAUUGUUGGAAUUGCCCAAAAGCGACGGUCAGGCCAAUGGACCGUCGAGCUAGUGACAGACCGUCCCCAAGAUAUCAUGACUAAGGCAGUGAACCUAAUUUCUAGUUAAGUGUGACGUCUAAGACCAAUGGACCAUCACCAAAAUCAUCGUAGACGAGGCAGAAAGUUCAGCUUCUGGUCAAUAUGAUGGGAUGGACUGACGAACCGUCGAGCCAGCGAUGGACCAUCGCCCAAAUUGUCACCACUUUCGAUCAACAAUUUUAAGCCAUUUUUAAAAGGUUAUUUGGGUCUUUUUCAUGUUUUCACCCCUAUUUAUUCCAGAAACAGCUCAUAAUUUCAUUAUUCAUCCACAACACCAAAUUAGUGUUUCUCUCAAAGAUCAAUUCCGCAAAACAAAAAACCCUAGGUGUUUAAACCCAAUGCUGUUAUUCAGUGAUUGGAUGGUUUGAGACAUUCAAGAUUUGACCCCGUGGUGUGACUUGCUUCAGGCGUCAUUUAAUAGGGUCAGGGUGAUUCAGGAUAAGUUAUGUAGCAUCUAAGAAAAAUAUAAAAAUAUGAAUGAAUUAAUUUAGCACUUUUGACAAGUGCAACUUUUGGUCUAUUAAGGAUUAUUAAGCGGUGCAUACUUGAUAGGGAAUUGUAUUUUGUAUGAUAUAGGGUAACGACACUCUAUGAGUGUUGUCUAAUUCAGUUCAGUUAAUCAUGUUCAGUGUUUAUUCAGAUGGGAGUAGGAUUCAGCACCGAGUGUGCCCAAGAAUGGGAACUCACCUUUUAUUAGAGGGUGAGAUUCUUAGAAGCAAUCCUUGCACUCCAGAACAACAUAGCCAGCGUAGGUUGAGACAUCAAACCUAGUAGUUGAGGGUAGAUGAGGUGGCUUAACUUUUUAUAUAAGGGUCCCACCGUUCUCCUUAGAGUACCUGUUAGAUUAGGGAUUACUCACAACUUGUCCUUACCAGUGGCAUAGUAUUGACACCCUUCUAAUUGGGGGUUACAGAUUGAAGCCCAACUCAAUUAUAUUAUAUCAUUUGGGGCAUGUUAGUUAGAUGAAUACUUCCUACAGUUACAGUCUUGGUCUUAGUCUCGGUAAUAGAACUCAGAUAGUUCUAAGGAAUUCAGGACUGUUAGAUACAGUCAUCCAGCUCAGUAUGAAACUCUACUAGUUCCAUCUAAAAUAAGACUGUCAGAUACAGUUAUUUAGAUAAUGGUAUAUUAGUUAUACAAAAACUUAUGUUAUUUGUAUUCAGACUCAGUAAUCACUGUUGUCAUAACCUCAUUUACAGUUAUGUAUUUAUAUAUGUAUUCCCAUGUUCAUGUUACUUAGUCAGUCAGUAUUAUUCUUGCAUAUGAACCUUUACAUUCAGCUUACCUCACUUGCAUAGCAGUACAUUCAAUUAUACUGACAUAUACUCUUUUUUUACGCUAUAGUGUUUUAUACCAUAAGUUCAAAAGCACGAGCUCCAGAGCAUCAGAAGCAUUCCAUAUUCAGCAGUCAGACUAGCAGUGAGUCCUCAUUAUUUGAGGAUGUUAUUAUUUGAUUAUUUUAUUAUUUCAUCACUUUAUUUAUUUUAGUAGUUGGAGUUAGUUGGGGACAUGUCCCAUUAACUCCUUAUUCUAUUAGUUUUAGAGGCUUUCAAACUGUAGUAUGUUCAGACAGUUAUUUCAGUCAUUUGGGUAUUGAUAUACCAUAUUUUUCAGAUGUUAUGUUUUAUUAGAUAUUUGAACCUUAUGAUCUUUUAGCCUUUUUACAUAUUUAUAUAGUGUAUUAUGCAGUGCCGAGUUGCAGAUAUCAAUCAUGGGUUGUCUUGUGGUCCUUCGGGGUCAUAGCACCGUGUAGCAUUUUGGGUUCCAGAUUCGAGGCGCUAUAGAAUUGGUAUCAUAUCCUAAGGUUCAACAGUGUCCUAGGAAGUCUGAAAGCCACAUUUAGUAGUCUUGUGCAUGGGUGUGUUGCGUACCACAUUUAUUUAUAGGAGGCUAUAAGAUAUUUUAGAAAUAGUUUCCCUUCUUUCAGUAUUCAAGUCAUGCCUGUGAGCAUGAGCUCAAAGUUAACUCUCAGUCUAAUUCGUUUCUCCCUUUCUUCUACAGAACAUACCUCCGAUGAGAAGAAAUGAAAAUCAGUUAGCCCCUCAGCCCGUCCCAGCAGACCCCUUGGGCGAACAUGUUUCUCAUGCAGUGUUCAGAGCUACAUUCACUACUCUUACUAACUCAGUUGCUGCUCAGAAUGAAUGGCCAGCUAUUUUUCCGACUAACCCAGUGUCCAAUACUGCUGCAUCUAAAAUUUGGGACUUUACCCGAAUGAAUCCUCCAUCCUUUUUUGGGUCUAAGUCAGAUAAGGACCCUCAAGAAUUCCUUGAUCAGGUUCAGAAGAUUAUGGUUAUCAUGGGAGUUACUGCUAGUGAGAGUACUAAGCUAGCUAUGUAUCAGUUUUAGGAUGUGGCUCACACAUGGUUCAAACAGUGGAAAGCCAAGAGGGGUGUAGAUAUAAAACCCAUAGUGUGGGAGGAAUUUGCCACUACUUUUCUAGAUAGAUUGUUUCCCCUAGAGUUGAGGGAAUCUAAGGAAUUAGAGUUUAUCAACCUCAGGCACAACAACAUGAUAGUGAAAAAGUAUUCUCUUAAGUUUACUCAAUUAUCUAGAUAUGCUCCUCAUGUAGUGGCAGACAGUAGGAUUACGAUAAUUAAGUUUGUUUCUGGGGUGAAUGAUAGUGUGGUUAAUGAGUGCAGAUCUGUAAUGUUGAUUAGUGAGAUGGACAUAGCCAGGCUUAUGAUCAUGAUCAACAGAUAUAAGAGCAGAAGAUUAAGAUGAGAGAGAAGCAGAAUAAGAGAGCAAGGACAAGUAGCUUUAACUUUUCUCAAACUAAGUCAAGAGGGUGGAAGUCGUUCUCAAUUCCACCUAAAGUCAUCCAUUCCAGCUCCUUUCUUAGGCAGUGCUCCAGUGCCAAAAUUUAGAGAUGGCAAUAGAGAUAGGGCGCCAGGCUCUAAGUCUCAGGGAAGUGUUAGCAGUGCCCGAACCUAUUCUUUUUUUUAGACAUAUGGCAAACACCAUUAGGGUGCUUUCAGAGCUUCUAGUGAUGUUUGCUUCAGAUUUUCCAAGCCAGGCUAUAGAGUCAGAGAUUGUCCCCAGACAGGUCCUCAGGGUUAGCGUAAUCGCCCUUCAGCUCAGUUUGGUCACCCAAAUAGCAGGGUGCCUCUUCUAGUGCUACUAAUAGGCAAUGCCUAAAUAGACUCUAGACUUUUCAGUCCCAACAGGAUCAGGAAAAUUCUCCUGAUGUGGUUACUGGUACAUUAUAGAUCUUGUACAUGUUUACGCCUUGCUAAAUCCAGGAGCUUUCUUGUCUUUUAUUACUCCUUAUAUAUCAGUUGCUUUUGGAGUCAGUCUCAAAAUUCUAGUAGAGCCCUUCUCAGUCUCUACCCAAGUGGGUAAAACUAUCAAAGCCCGAUGGGUAUACAGGAACUGUCUUAUUAUGGUAUCUCAAAAAGUCACUUCAACAGACUUAGUUGAAUUAGAGAUGACUGAUUUUGAUGUCAUUCUCGGCAUGGAUUGGCUUAAUUCCUGCUAUGCCAAAGUCGACUGCACAAAUAGAGUUGUGUAGUUUCAGUUCCUGAAUGAACCCAUCCUAGCAGUUGACUGCAGAAAUAUGAAAAUAUGUUAGCAUAUGGUUGAAGUUCUUGCAUUGAAAGUGCAAAAUGUUGCCAUGAAGUAUUGUUUCAAUAUUCAUGCCUAAGCCUAAAAAUAAUUCAAGGUGUUUGAUAAAAUGCCUAAGAGAAUAGGCAUUAUGUCUUAUGACUCAUUUGUGACAAAAAUUGUGAAUCCAUGUUUCUCUCUUAUGUUUUAUAUGACUCCAACGUUAUUGUUAUGCUUUGUAAUGGAUUGAAGUAAUGCCUAUGAGAUUAGGCUUAUGAAAUUAUGAUAUGUUUACAUGCAUUCCUAUUUAUGUGUAAGCUUAUGGCAUGCGAAUACUUCAUGAAAAUCUCAAAUAUUUUAUAAUAUGAAUUGUUGACUAUGGUCAUGUGUCAAGAUUUGUCAUGUCUUAUCAGUGUCAUGCUAUCAAGUCCCGAGGGUACUUGUACCCAAUAAUUUGGCUUUGUGACUAAAUCCAGUGUCAUGUUUUCAAGAUACUCUCAGUCAAGCCAUGUUCAGUAGAAUUCAAUCAGUCUCAUGACUCAAGAAAACUUAGUAAACUCUGAAAUAUCAAAAAUCUUCAAAAUUUAGUAAUCUUAGCAGUAUUCCGUCAGUCAACAGAACUCAAUAAGUGCAGUCCAGUUCAGUUCAAUUAAUCAUGUUCAGUGUAUAUUCAUAUGGGAGUAGGAUUCAGCACCGAGUGAGCCCAAGGAUGGGAACUCACCUGUUAUUAGAGGGUGUGAUUCUUAGAAGCAAUCCUUGCACUACAGAACUAUGUAGCCAGCAUAGGUUGAGAUAUCAAACUAGCUAGUUGAGGGUAGAUGAGGUGGAUUAACCUGUUAUAUGAGGGUCCCACCAUUCUCCUUAGAGUACCUAUUAGAUUAGGGAUUACUCAUAGCUUGUCCUUACUAGUGGAGCAGUAUUGACACCCUUCCAAUUAGGGUUACAGAUUGGACCCCAACUCAAUUAUAUUAUCUUAUUUGGGGCAUGUCAGUUAGAUGACUACUUCCCAUAUUUACAGUCUCGAUCUUAGUCUCAGUAAUAGAACUCAGAUAGUUCUAUAAAAUUCAAGACUAUUAGAUACAGUCAACCAGCUCAGUAUGAAACUCAACUAGUUCCAUUAGAAACAGGACUGUUAGACACAAUCAUUCAGAUAAUAGUAUAUCAUUUAUACAAAAACUUAUGUUAUUAGUAUUCAGACUCAGUAAUCAGUAUUGUCACAAUCUUAUUUAUAGUUAUGUAUUUACGCAUGUAUUCGCACGUUCAUGUUACUCAGUCAGUCAGUAUUGUUCAUGCAUAUGAACCUUUGCACUCAGCCUACCUCACUUACAUACCAAUACAUUCAAUCGUACUGAUGCAUAUUUUUUUUCGCUAUGGUGUUUUAUACCAUAUAUUAGUCAUCGUCAAGAAUAAUUAUAAACUUCCCAGAAUUAAUAACUUGUUUAAUCAAAUUUAGGCUGCCAACUAUUUCUCUAAGAUAGACCUCAGAUCAUGCUAUCAUCAACUCAGAGUUAGAGAAUAUGACAUUCUGAAAAUUGCUUUUCAAACUCGAUAAGGUCACUUUGAAUUCUUAGUCAUGUCCUUUGGUCUUACCAAUGCCCCAGCAACUUUCAUGGACUUGAUAAACCGUGUGUUCAAGCAGUACUUGGUCGUGACAGAUAAUAUUCUUGUCUAUUCCCACAGUGACCAUAAUCAUGCAGACUAUCUUAAAAUAGUAUUGCAGACUCUCAGAAAUCAUCAGUUGUUUGCCAAAUUCAGUAAGUGUGAAUUUUUGUUAAGGUUAGUAGAAUUCCUUGGUCAUAUCAUUUUCAGUGAUGGGUUUAGCGUUGAUCCUCAAAGGACCAAAGCAGUAAGAAAUUGGCCUCGCCCUAUCUCUCCAUCAGAUAUCAGGAGUUUCUUAGGGUUGGAUGGCUAUUACAGAUGAUUUUUUGAGGGAUUUUCUUCAGUUACAUCCCCUAUAUAUAGAUUGACUUAAAAGAAAGUCAAGUUUCAGUGGUCAGAUCCUUGUGAGAAGAGUUUUCAGGAGUUGAAGAUUCGACUCACCUCAUCCCCAGUUUUAGCUCUUCCAGAUGGUUCAGAUGGGUUUGUGGUAUACUGUGAUAUAUCUAGAGUGGGUUUGGGUUGUGUCCUCAUGUAGCAUGGUAAGGUCAUAUCCUACGCCUCCAGACAACUUAAUCCCUAUGAGAAGAAUUAACCUACUUAUGACCUUGAGUUAGCAGCCGUAGUUUUUGCCUUAAAAAUUUAGAGGCAUUACUUGUACAGUGUUCAUAUAGAUGUGUUCACAAAUCAUAAAAUCCUUCAGUACGUGUUCUAUCAGAAAGAUCUUAAACUCUAUCAUAGAAGGUGGUUAGAGCUCCUGAAAGAUUAUGACAUGAGUGUCCGUUAUCAUUCGGGCAAGGCCAAUGUAGUGGCCGGCGCUCUCAGUAGACUGUCUAUGGGUAGUGUUAUUCAUGUUAAAGACAAUAAGAAGAAGCUAGCUCAGGAAGUUCAUCAUCUUGCCAGAAUAGGUGUUCGCUUAGUCGAUUCAGCCGAGGGUAAUAUAUGGGUUCAGAGUAGUUCAGAAUCAUCUCUAGUAUUCGAGGUAAAAGAAAAGCAAAAUAAAGAUCCCAGUCUAGUCAAGUUGAAAGAGUAAGUCAGAGAUCACAAGGUUGUGAUUUUCUCAUAAGGGGGAGAUAAUGUAUUGUGUUGUCAAAGUCGUCUGUGUAUUCCAGGUGUAGAUGACUUGAGGCAAUGAAUUCUUGCAGAAGUGCAUGGUGCAUGCUACUCGAUUCAUCCAGGGGCCACUAAGAUGUACCGUAAUUUGUAGAAGAGCUAUUGAUAGAGUGGAAUGAAGAGAGGUGUUGCAGAGUUCAUGGCUAAAUGCUCUACAUAUCAGCAGGUUAAGAUAGAGCAUCAGAAGUCUAGUAGGUUCAUACAGGAGUUCAGUAUUCCUAUUUGUUAUUAGGGAAAACUGAACAUGGACUUUGUGAUGGGUUUUCCUUGUACUCAUCAUCAGCAUGAUUCAGUCUAGGGCAUUGUAGACAGGAUAACCAAAUCAUCUCAUUUUCUUCCAGUCCAUACUUCUUAUUCAAUCGAGGAUUAUGCCAGACUCUAUAUCAGGGAGUUGGUUAGAUUGCACGGUGUUCCGUUGUCUAUUAUUUCAAACAGAGGUACCUAGUUCACCUCACUUUUGGAAAGCAUUCCAAAGGAGUCUUGGUACCCAAGUUCACCUCAGUACAACCUUUCAUCCUCAGACAGUGGUCAAGCAGAAUGGACCAUUCAGACUUUGGAAGAUAUGCUAAGGGCGUGUGCAAUUGAUUUCAAUAAGAGUUGGGAUGAUCACUUGCCUUUGAUUGAGUUUGCAUACAACAACAACUAUUAUUCCAGUAUUCAGAUGGCUUUAAUUGAAGCUCUCUAUGGUAGGAGGUACAGAUCUCCAAUCGGUUGGUUCGAAGUGGGUGAAGCCACAGUAGUAGGGCCUGACUUGUUAUUAAACACAUUAGAGAAAGUUCAGUUGAUCAGAGAAAGACUCCAGGCAGCUCAGAGUCGACAAAAAUUGUAUGCAGAUGUGCGUAAAAAGGAUCUAGAGAUUGAGAUUGGUGAUUAUGUGUACUUAAAUAUCUCUCACAUGAAGGGAGUGAAGCGAUUCGGCAAGAAGAGAAAGCUUAGUCCUUGAUAUGUUGGUCCCUUCAAAAUUCCCAAUCGCUUUAGCAAAGUAGCUUAUGAGCUCGAAUUGCCUUCAGAUCUAGCCUCAGUUCAUCCGGUGUUCCAUGUCUCCUUCCUAAAGAAGUGAGUUGGUGACCCAACAGUUGUAGUCUCGGUAGAGGGCUUAGACAUUCAGAAUAACCUCUCUUAUGAAGAGAUUCUAUUCGAAAUUCUUGAGUACAAGACUCGUAGAUUGAGGAAGAAAAAAGUCCCUCUAAUCAAAGUUCUUUGGCGGAAUCAGUCUGUUGAGGGAGCUACUUGGGAAGCAAAAGCAAAAAUGUGGACCAAGUAUCCUCACCUCUUCUCUGCAAACUCAGACUCAACCCAAGGUAAUAGCUUUCCUUAAUCUUAUUCAAUUUCAUGUUCAGAUUUCAGUUAUAAACCUGCUAUCAAAUACCAUUGCAUAUCCAGUCAUAUGUUCAUAUAUCAUGUCAGUCACGUAUUCAUGCAUCAGAUAUACAUUCUUAUCAUGAGAAACUUAGCUUCUCAGUAAUUUUAGUCAUGCAUUUAUAAAGACUAUCUUUCAUAUAUCCAUGCAUCGGACAUGCAUAUUGAGUACGAGAUUUCAGUAUAUCAGAAGUUCUAAUCACAUAGACAUGCUCAAAUGUUCAUGUCCCUUAAGAAAGAUUAGUCUAUCAGCCUUCCCAGUCUAGUCAGUCCCAUUUGAGGACGAAUGUUCCCAAAGGGGAGCUAUUGUAAU
rnacentral:lncRNA from 1 species